rnacentral:lncRNA from 1 species
AAUUGAUAUUUUUUUUUUUAUAUUGCAUAUAUACAAUCAUCUAUAAAUACAUAAUUUUAUAAUAUUAAUUAUCAACUAUAAAUAUAUAAUUUUAUAAUAUGUAAACUUAUAUAUAAAUAUAAUGUUUUAAUUAGUAAUUAAAAGAUCGCAUGAUUAUUUUAUAUUCCGGAGAGGUAAUUUUAUCUCUCUAUCUAAAAAGUAACUGGAUUCACAAAUAUAAAUCAGCCUACCAAAUAGAAAAAAAAAAGUAACGGUACAGUUGCAACUGUAUGAACCAAACAGACUAGUUGUAGUUACGACGGCAAUAUUUGCAACUGCGCGUAUUUUUAACUACACUGUUUUUGCAACUAAAUCCAUCCAAACGGUCCCUAAAAGGUCAUCUAGUGAGAUGUAAUUAGAAAUAUAGUCUAGCUGGAAAUAAAUGCAGUUGAAAAUGCACCAUUUAUAACUACAUACAUCUUAUUUGGACUUUUUUUUGAAAUAACCCUAUAGAAUUUUCUAAUUGGAUAAAUAAUUCUAUGAAUUUUUUUUUAGCAAACUAACCCUCCUUUUGUCUUGUAGGAGGCAUGGUAAAUUGUUUUCUUAAAUAUGGUGAAUCAUUCACCGCCUUCAUGAAGUCGGUUAACGAUUCACCGCAUUUCAUUUUCACAAAAGUGAUAAAUCAUUUACUGUCUUUCCCUAAAUAUGCAUCUAUUUCUUUCUAUUUUUCAUAUAUAAUCUUAACAACUAUAUAAAAAUUUCAACAAAUUAUAUAUAAUCUUAAUAACCUAAAAAUCCCUAAUAAUCUAAAACAAAAAUCCUAAUAAUCCACAUAGAAUUCUAACAAUCUCACUUUUUUAUAUUUCCUAUAUAUAAUCCUAAUAUCCGUAUAAAAAUUUCAACAAAUUGCAUAUAAUCUUAACAACCUAAAGAAUCCUAACAAAUAAUUUUUAAGAUGUUAAGGAUUUUGUAUUGGCAAGUUUCGUGAUUUGAGUCGGAGUCUUGAAGGGUUCAAUACGUGAUUGUCGAAGAUCGAAGAAUCCGAGAUUCCGAAGAACUCAGAAAUGUCAUAUUGGAUGAAUCACGAUGCUCAGGUAAGCGUUUAAAUGUUUUAAUAGUGAUUCAUACUUACUUAUGACAUUAGAAUCAUAUGAAUCAAUGUUAUAAGGAUUAGAAGUGGGUUUUGGUAUUGUUCAAUUUAAUAUAACAAUAUUUGAUAUUGUGUACCGGUACCUGUAUUCAGUUCCUCAAAACCGUCUUUGAAAAAUCAGUUUUUAAUACUGAGUACCAGUAUCUCACUUUGGUACCUCAAAAUCCGAAGAGCAGUGUUCUGUGAAUUACAGUGUUCUGUGAAUUACACUGUGUACCAGUACCACAGCCGAGUACCGGUACUGCAUUGGCCGCGUACUGGUACUCAGCCUGAGGAAAUUUUCGUGUCGUCAUGGUGUACCGGUACCAAAUUUCGGAGUACCGGUACUUAAUGUAAUAUUUCCUUAAUUAGCUUCUAAUCUGAUUCUAAAGUCUAUAAAUAAGAUAUUGGGGUUCUCUAUUUCAUUGAACAUCACGAGAAUACUUGUAUGAGAAACCCUAGAGGCUAAGUUUUUAUUCUAAACCUAUUUUCCACAAAUUAGCCUCUUUUAGGUCAAUUCGAGAUAUUGUAAUUUGAUAUCUACAUGUCGAAUUGAUCUAAGGUUUGCUUAGAGAUUCUUCUCUGGUUCUUCAUCGAUACUCUAAGCGAAGGAUCACCGCAUAAACAUGAUGUUCUUCAUGUGCGGCGUCGUGAAUUCGGCGUGAUCGAAGGAGGUUCGUGGAUUCGGAUCGUGAGCUCGUGGAUUCGAGUGGCGUCCGUGGAUUCGGACGUGUGCGUGGCGUUCGUGAAUUCGAACGUGAGGGCGUGGACAACCCGUAGGAUUGCGCGAGAUUCAUAGGAGGUUAGGAGAGAUCGAGUCCGUGGAGUCGGUAAUCACCUUGUUAUCUUUUCUCUUAGUGAAUUAUUUUUUCGUGUGUUGAUCCCGUAGGUUUUUCUCUAAGUUAGAGUUUCCCACGUAAAUCUCGUGUGAUUUUCACUUUUUCGCAUUUAAUUUUAUCGCAUUGAGAUUUGUGAUUUUUGGGACAUAUACCUAUUCACCCCCCUCUAGGUGUGAUAGUAUCUAGAUAGAUCCUAAGGUUUCUAUAACAUACAAUUGGUAUCAGAGCGGGAUUUAGAUUUAUCUAUCAUAAUGGGUGAAGGCGGCAAUAUUAAUCGACCUCCACUCUUCUAUAACACAAACUAUGCCUAUUGAAAAGUUCGCAUGAGAGCUUUUCUAAUAUCAAUCGAUGAGCGGGUGUGGCAAUCAAUAGAAUUCGGAUGGAAACAUCCCACCGAAGUCGUCUAUAAUGCUACCGUCCUUAAACCUAAAAAUAAAUGGACGAAAGACGAAAAUGAGUCAUCUUAGUUCAAUGGAAAGGGGAUAAAUGCUUUGUUUAAUGCUUUGUCACAAACGGAAUUUACUCGUGUUUCGGCGUGUGAAACCGCCAAAGAGAUUUGGGAUACUCUACAAGUUACACAUGAAGGUACAAGUCUAGUAAAAGUACAAAAGCUCUAAAUAUUGACAAGUCAAUUUGAUUCUAUUCGAAUGGAGGAGCAUGCAUCUUUUACUGAUUAUUAUACUAGACUUCAAGACAUAAUUAAUACAUGUGCUAACUUGGGAGAGAAGAUCCCGGAAUCAAAAAUUGUUAGAAAGAUUUUUCAAACUCUUCCGGAGCGUUUUAGGAAAAAAGUUGCCGCGAUCGAAACUGUUAAGCAUCCGGAUGAGAUGAAAGUCGAAGAGUUAGUAGGUGCGUUGCAAACAUAUGAAAUGACUUUUCCUGCUAAUCAAUCUUCUUCCAAGUUUUCUUCUACAAGCACAGGGGUUGUGUUGAAAUCGACGAAGGAAGAAGACGUGGACUCGGAAUUCGACGGAGACAUCUCAAUUGCGGACUUUGAACAUCAAUUGGCACUAAACUGUCCCUGAUAUAUUGACACUAAACUUCCAAUCAUUUGUAUCUAAUUAUUAUUGUGUGAUUGAUUUGAUCUGAUCCAACGAACCUAUCGUGCACGCAUGCAUUAAAGAUGACUUGUUGACAUCAAUUUCCCCAUGGAGAGUACCUACCAACAACUCUAAUAUCAGAAGAGUUUUUACUGCAUUUAUGGGUCCAUAUGCCAUGUAGUGAUGUGUCCAUGUUUUCAUACACAAAAAAAAGAGAAAAAAAUGUCCCUGUAACGUUUCUAAACAAGGCAAUAUUUUAUUUUUCAUUUAAUUUUAGUUUAAUUUAACAAGGCACAAUUGGAACGUCAUUUGACUAAAUCAUAUACACUCGUAAUGUAGUGUCUCUGGGGUUUAGUGGUCGGACCGACUGCAGCAUUAGUGGCUCGUCGACAUAUCUGUGGAGUGUCGGGACGAGCCGGAGUUGUUUUGGUGCGAAAUAGAUGCGAAAACGGGCUCGGAGCUGUGAGAGUUGGAGUUCAAACACUGAAGUCCGCAAAAGCAAAAUUUGUAGUGUUGAGUACCGAUACCAGGGAGGGUGUGCCGAUACCCCAGAGGGAUUACCCGAAGGGGGGCUCUCGGGUUUGCGAGACUGGAGUUGAGUACCGGUACCGCGUCGAUGAGUACCGGUACUGUUUUUGGUACCGGUACCCAGCAUGCGAGUUUGCUGGCUGAGUGCCGAGUACUGGUACCCAAGUUGAGUACCGGUACCCAGUAGGCAGAUUUGAGUUGGUAAGGAACUUUUUGGUCCUUUUGCUGUGUCGAUCAUUCCAACCGACCCUCAGUUUAUUGAUAUGCGUAGGGAGCUUGGAGAAACAGUAUUCUUCUUAUCUUCUUCUCUCUCUCUACCUUGUAUACACCGUCAUUGGGAAGUUGAGGAUCGAUCUCGUUUCGUUCUACGGAGCUUUGGAGGGUUGCGCGUGCACCGUGGUUGAUUUCAGUUGAGUCGUUGGAGGUCGAGCUAGCACGGGGUUGCUCCUAUCGACUUCUAGCCGGUAUUGGACGAGAGUUCGAGGUGGGUUGAUGUUGCUCGAACACUUCGAAAUUCUCCCUAAGUUUCAGAAAAUGUCAGCAUGUAUUUUCUUGUUCGAUCAUCAUGUUUAGUAGCCCGAAUUCAUGGAUGUGCAUGUUUAUAUGAAACCUGAAUUUGGAGCAUCAUUAGAUGAAGUAUAUAUAUAUAUGCUGAACUGAGAUUUGACGUAGGAGAAAAUCGAUUAAACCUACACUGUCAUUUUCGAAAGUUAACCGAAUUAGCUUCAGAAGCUAUUGUUUUUUUGUAUCAUCGCUGUUAGUGUAUAGUGGAUACUCAAAGUAGUGUAGGUUGACAUUAUAUACGCUUGUGCUGAGGGACCGAGCUCGUUUUAUAGUAGCAUUGGACUGUUUCGUACUGUCGGGAGCUGUCAGAGCUGACGGUGGAUCCAGAUGUCUACAUCUUCUAUCAGAUUGUGCCGAGACCACGUGAGCCUUGGUUGUUAGACCAGUUUGACCUAUUUGCAUUGACUAUAGCCUGUGUGAGCCUGAUUGAGCUCGACAGAGAUACGCUUGCGUACUCGGUAGGGUUGCUCCCACGAGUGUCGCUCCGGAGUGAGACUUUUACUUGCGUUGAUGUCGCAGCAGUCCUGUUUGGACAUUGUUCUUGGACUGGCCACCCCUGUGGGUGAUGUGCGGUGCAGCUUGGGUAGAGGCUGGACUGACUAGUUGGCGGUCCAUUGAGAUUGGGUCAGUGUAUUGUAGCUAGUGAUGCAUUUUUAUGUCUACAGAGAGUAUGGUUUGGAUAGCGAUAGAAUAGUGGCAUAUAGCUGUAGGGUUUCUUCCAGCUUACUUUACUAUCCUCUACAUACCUUUCCUGUAGACUUAGUGGGUAGGCCGUUGGGGUCGGUAACGGUACCCACUGAGGACUACUCUGUUUUGCAGUAGUUCUCACACGCAAUUGUUGCCACCUUUCUGCAGAGCCUUCGUCUACUGCUGUUGUUGCUGAUUCUAAUUGUGGGAAGGGAGUCGCGAGCUAAAUCCCUGCCACCCCUGGAUACUGUGCUAGAGGAGUACCCUUCAGAGGUAGUUUUGGGUUGCUCCAUGUACAUACUGUAAUGUUAAUUGUACUCGCUAGAGUGAGGUUGUUCUAUUGGCUUUUGUAUGUACAGUGGACCCCUUUUAUGUUAUAUAUAUAUAUAUAUAUAUAUAUAUAUAUAUAUAUAUAUAUAUGUUCAUUUUUAGCAGCUCUAUACUUCUAGUUGUAGCUUUGACUUGGUUACAGGCACUACAAUAGAAUUAGGUUAUAGGGAUACAUGUUUGGGACACUUUUGUGUAAGUGUCCUAUUUAUGCCAAAAUUUUUUAAAAAAUCUACUAAUGCCUAAAUAUAAAGUCCAAUCCAACCAAAAAUAAAAGGUUACUCUACUCAACCCACCCCACCCAGCCCAUUCGGCCAGAUUACAAACAGAAAAAAAAAGAAAAAAUCGAUUACCAUUUCUCCUUCUCCCCUCACUCAAUCAACUGAAAUCCCAGACGAAAAUCCCUUCCUCUCAUCCUUCUCCGCCACCGCAGCCAACAAGGUAGAGUUCCGGCGGUUGCUAAAUACUUAAAUAAAUAUUGGUAAAUUAGCAGCACUCUUUUUAUGUUAUAACGACACUCUUUAACUGUCACUAAAUACCUAGUGAGCCCACAUAUAGCAACACUUUUUAAAAGUGUCGGUAAUUUAGCCAGCAGCACUUCUUUUGACCUUUACCGAUAUUUAAAAGUGUUGCUAUAAACCUUUUUUGUUGUAGUGAGGUACAGCUUUCGCUUCGUAUAUACGAAAAAUUUCUAUGUAUACGGCGGGUCUGUUGGCGUGCCAGAGAAAACGUGUUAAUUCGGGGCGUGACACGCAAACACUACGAAAUCUAAGUACAUAAAAACCUUCCGAAAUUGUCAAAAUCACAAAUCAAUUUCAAAUUUUAAAAAAUUAUCAAAACUAUAUAUCUAAUAUUGCUAACAUUAUAUUAAAAAAAUAUAUGGCUAAACUAAUUUUACUCCUUCAGUUGAUUAUCAUCAAAAUAUUGGACUUUAUCAAUUGAAAUAGAAACAAAGUUAAAAAAAGGUGAUGGCAUAAAUUACAGAAAAAAUUAUUCAAACUUUAAAAUGAAUAUAAGAAAGUUGUCCUAAGUUAUAUAAAUUGAAUAAAAAACUAUUAAAUUAUAUGAUAGUUGUAAGGGACAAAUAAGUUCUUUUAUUUUCUAACUCCUAUAAAAUUCUAACGAAAAUUAAAGAGAAGGGUAUAUAUAUAUAUAGAGUUGGACUGGGCUACUAUUAGUAGCAAAAUUCUAUUGUUGCUAUCAGUUUUUUAGCCAUUAGAUCAACUCUUUUCGUCAUUUCUAACCAUUGGAUUAAAUACUAUAACCCAGUGGGGACCACUCAACCCUAGGGGGACCACUCAACUCUAACUGACUAAUAUCAUCCUAACCCUACAAUUUUUCAUCCAAGGGUUAAAAACUUGAUAGCAAAAAGAGUGUUUUACUACUAAUAGUAUUCCAGCCUAAUUCUCUCUCUCUAUAUAUAUAUAUAUAUAUGGAGUAGGGCUGCUGUGCUUUUAGGAGCACAGAGGCCUUCGUGCUCCUCAGCAGCCCUACUUUAUAUAGAGUAGGGCUGCUGUGCUUUUAGGAGCACGGAAGCUUUCGUGCUCCUGAGCCGUUUUCGAUAAUGGAAUUUCCGAAUCGACGAUCGGCUCCGUCAGACUUAAUCUAGCGUAUUUGAAGUUUCUAGAAAAUAAUUUUUGCGAUUUUUUGAGCUUCUAUGCUUUUAAAAGUAUCAAGUCAUUGGUGCUUGUAAAUUUUUGGCCCUUAGAUUAAGAAAUAUGUGGUUAGGAUGAUGUGGGGCCCCUAGGGUUGAGUGAGUGGUUGGUUGAAUACUAUAAUCUAAUGUGACACCCCAAUAAUCCCACAUCGGAUGGGAAUGGGAUUGUCAUUGGGUUUAUAAGAGACUUAGACACUAGUAAUAAUAACUGGGCUUAAGCAUUUUGGGCCGGUUGUUGGGCCCAACGAGUUAUUGUUGCUAGUGGGCUGGGUCGUUACAUUUGGUAUCAGAGCCGGUUCACCAGCUGGACAUGUGUGGCGAGUCUCGGCUGAGCCAGGGUCUGGAUGACGGGCUAGCGAGACGAGUCUCACAUACAUGUGAUCUUGGGCGCUUGUGUUUUGCGACUGAACAGGACGUCAGGGCCUUAACGGGGGAGUAGUAUGUGACACCCCAAUAAUCCCACAUCGGAUAAAAUGGGGUUGUCAUUGGGUUUAUAAGAAGACUAGACACUAGUAAUAAUAACUGGGCUUAGAUUUUGGGCGUUGACUGGCCCAACGAUAUUAUUGCUAGUGGGCUGGUCGUUACAUCUAACGGGUGAAAAUGAUCAAGGCAUAGAAUCGAACGGUAAAAAACUCAACAACACAAGUGCUUGGUACUUUACAAGCACGCAUAGCCGACUUUAUAUAUAUAUAUUAUAUAUAGGUCCGACUACUACCUAUUUAAUAGGAAUUGGGACUCUUGUCCUAUCAAGGUCGAUUUGAAUGAUCGGAACUUCAAAUUGAUAAUCGGCACCGUUGAAUUGAUCUAUACAAUUAGAAAGUUUGAAACCAAAUUUGUAAUAUUUAAAAUCAUUAUCAAUUCAUCUUAAGAGUUGAAAAAUGAACGUCCAUAAAUGAAAACCUUCUAAAAUAGAGUUAUACUUUCUCAGUUCGUAAUCAGGGUCAUCAAACAUAUCUAAAUAGUAUAAUAGAAUUUUCUAUCAAAUUCAAGCAAUUGAUGCUCUACACCGCUAAACAGCAACAACGCUCAUAUAGACCGUCAAAAAUUGUCGAUUUUACGACCACUUUGAUCACAUGUAAACCACUUAUCAAAAUUAUGAAAUUUAGUUUCUAGAUAUUCAAAUACUCUAGAUCAACUUCAAUGGCUCCAAUCAUCGAUUCGGAAUCUCGAUCAUCAAGACAACUUGAUAGGACAAGUGUGUCCUAUCCUAUUAAUAGGAUAGUAGCAUUAGCCUAAUUAUAUAUAUAUAUUAUAGUUAUAUAUAUAUAUAUAUAUAUAUAUAAUUAGGCUGGAAUACUAUUAAUAGUAAAACGUUCUUUUUGCUAUCAAGUUUUUAACCCUUGGAUGAAAAAUUGUAGGGUCAGGAUGAUGUUAGUCGGCUAGAGUUGAGCAGUCCCCCUAGGGUUGAGUGGUCCCCACUGGGUUAUAGUAUUUAAUCCAAUGGUUAGAAAUAAUAAAAAGGUUGAUCCAAAGGCUAAAAAACUGGUAGCAACAAUGAGAUUUUGCUACUAAUAGUAGCCCAGUCUAACUCUAUAUAUAUAUAUAUAUAUAUAGAAUUGAGCUCCUAUGCUUUUAAAAGUACCAAGCUAUUGGUGCUUGUAGAUUUUUAGCCAUUGGAUUAAGAGAUAUGCGGUUAGGAUGAUGUGGGCCCCCUAGGGUUGAGUGGGUGGUUGGUUGAAUAGUAUAAUCUAAUGGUUGAAAAUGAUCCAAGGGGUAGAUCUAAUGGUAAAAAACUUACAAGCACCAAGUGCUUUGUGCUUUUACAAGCACCAUAGGUGGACUAUAUAUAUAUAUAUAUAUAUAUAUAGAGUUUUGCUAGAAUACUAUAGGUAGUAAACGGCUUGGUUUACUACCGAUUUGUUUUCGAUGAUAGAGCUUCCAAAUUGAUGAUUGACACCGUUAAAAAUGAUCUAAACUGUUUAAACUAUCUGGAAAUCAAAUUUCACACAUUUUCGAUAUUGUUCUCUUGUCCAUCAAGUGAACAGAAAAAUGAAUGGCUGAAAUGAAUAUCCUUCAAAAAGUGAUGAUACAAUUUUUAUAUUUGAGAUCUAGAGUCUAGAUCUUAUUUUAAAUAGUUUAAAGAAUUUUUUAACAAAAAUUUAGUUGAUUUGAACUCUUCUAUACCGUUAAACGAGCAAACGCAUCAUAUCGGCCAUUAAAAUUAUAGAUUUUGUGACCCUUUGAUCGUUCAGUUAGUGAUGCCAAAAAAUCAUGAAAUUUGAUUUCUAGAUAAUUUGAAUGGUCUAAAUCAUGUUCAACGGUGCCGAUCGUCGAUUUGGAAGCUCUAUCAUAAAAAACAAAUCGGUAGUAAACUGAGCAGUUUACUACCGAUAGUAGUCCAGUCAAACUCUCUCUCUCUCUCUCUCUCUCUCUCUCUCUCUCUCUAUAUAUAUAUAUAUAUAUGAUAUUAUUUGCGGAUUUAUAGGUGUAAUAUUGAUACUGACAUUUUUGGAGUUAUAUAUGUGAUAUUUUUAAAGUUUUAAGGGAAACACUUAAAGUGUGUUUAUUUUACUGAAAUUGGACAAAGGUGAAUAGUUUUCGAGUGUAAAUAUCUAUUUUUAUUAUUUAGUUUAUCAUAACUUCAUCUUCGGUUGUGACUCAAACUCUCCAAAAUAACGUAAUUAUCUUCGGUCCACUGCAGGCCGAUGUCAAUUACCAAAAAAAGGUGAGAAACAAAUAGUAAAAUAUUAACUCAUCUAUCAUACCUCCAGCAUUUAUAUCAUUUAUUUUCUAUCAAACAAACAAUACAAUUGGGAGAAUUUUAGCCGCAUAGUUAUACAAACAAAUAGUGAAACUGAACUUUUGGUUGAAAUGAAGUUUAGAUGAAAAUCACUUUUCCUCCGCUGUUUAUUUUCACAAGGAUAGAAGUGAAGUUUUUUCAGCUCUACUAUUUAUUUCGGAGGAAGUAUAUGAUGUAUAAAUAAUAAAUAACUUAAUAAAUAAUAAAUAAAAAUAAUAUAAUUAUAUUUUAUAUAAUUAAAAAUUUUAAUUUAAAACAACUAAAUUAUUUUUUAUACAUAAAUAAUAAUAAUACAACAAAAUAAAUUCUAAAGUAAAAAAAAUAUUAAUGCUUAACUAAUCAAUUUUCAUCACAUUUUAAAUGUACAAAUUAAAUAAAAAAUACUAAAAUUUAAUUAAUUAAAAAAAUAAUUAGUAUCCUAACUAAAUAUAUUUAAAUAUAACAGCAUUACUCAUUGUAUUAUUUUAUUAGUUUUUCCUUCAUCUCUCUUCACCAUAAUUGAUUUCGGCCUAGGAUAACUCGAGUUUUGAUUCGAGUUAAUUCGACUUAGGAUAGACUAAGGUCAAUUACAUUGUUUCGGAUUACUCGCGUUUUGGCCGUAUCCUUCUUACGACGGUCCAAACAGCAAAAAUGAUCGUGUUUACUGCAAAAAAUGACUUCACCCCUCUCGACUUUUACCUAAACAAAGAGCCCCUUAACAUUGCUCCAAUCUAAAAUAAGAAAGUAAACUUUACGUAUAAACCCCUAGAAAUUAUCUUUUCCAUAUUUAGUCCCCCCAAAGUCACAAGAGGCAAUCAUUAAUUGCGAAUUGAAUAAGGAAAGAAAAGGCCAAAAUAGCUUCUUUAUUUAUUUAUACCAUUUUAUAUUAAUAUAAUUUACUAAAUUUCACUACUAAUUCCAGAUCUUUUUAUUCAAAUUUCAAUUUGGUCCCUGAAAUCUUAUAAAUUACACACACGAUAUCGCCAAAGUUUCUGUAGUGCCUUAAGUGCAGUAAUCAUCUCCGAGAAAAAAUUAUUGUAUACGUAUAUCAUAUUUCGUAUCCUAUUAUGAAUUAUACGUAGCAAAAAUUUUAUAAUUGAAUUGUAAAAUGAAAUAUAUGAAGGAUUGAUAGAUUCGUCUCGAAUUUCAAAAGAAAAAUGCUAAGUUUACAACGCAAAAGAUCCCUCGUCCAAGGGGUUGUAGAGUUUACAAAAUUUUUUAAAGAUUUUAGUUAAAAGGAAAAUGAUAUGACAAAUUUUUUUUUUAAAAAAUAAGCAUUUGAAUGAAUAAAGUUAUAAAAUUAUAAUCCAAAAUAGGUUGUAGGCGGAGGAUUGGUCAUUUCAAAAUAUGGCUUAUUUCUAGCAAGUGUUGAGAUUUUAAGUGUGGAUUGUAGUAAUUGUUUAUAAUCUUUUAUUGAGUUAUCCGUCAAUUAAAUUAGGAAUUUUUUUUCGAAUUCGCCAAAAUUUGCGUCAAAUUAUAUAAUUUUAAUCACUUCUUAACAAAAAAAAUCAUACUAGUUAACGACUAAUAGUUCAAAAAAGAAAAACUUGAGGGGCCUCUUUCACUAAACACUAUAGUUGAGGGGUCUCAUGCAUUUUUACCAACUCUUGGUCAAACUUUUGGGAACAAGUAGUGCAAAAACAUUUAUGGCUAAAUUAUAACAAAAAUAUCUUGCACUUUAGUUUCAGUCUUAAUUAUUUGUUGCAUUAAAAGCUGCAUUAAUUACCACCAAUAUUUUACUACUUUAUCAAAAAUAGAUCCAAAAAUUUUAAAAAUUGGUAAAUUAGACUGUAAUACAUCACUAAACAAUUUAUUGAACAAUUUGUUCAAUUUAUGUAAUUCAAUUGUAUUACUUUUUGAUAACUUUAUGUAUAUAAAAAUCUGCUUUAACAAAAGUUUGCGGGUGAAUUCAACAAUUGUUCAUGAUAACCGAACAUAUUUGAGACAACGAUAAAAAUAUAAAAGGAUAAUUAAUGUAAUUUUGUAUGCUGGGGAGAUAGUUGAUGCAUACACUAAAGUGUAAGAGAAUUUUUUAUAUUUUAGCUAAAAAAAGAGAGCGGAGUUGAGAAAUAAGGGUGACUAACGAGGACGUAGACGAGGGAGGCGAGGAGGAUGGUGCGGAAUCGGCCGAGGAACGAGUCGGCGACGAGGGCGCCGAGGAGGGGGAGCAUCGAGGCGACGCCGCUCCACGUGUUUAUCGCCGCCGCCGCCGCCGCCGUCCCCUCCCCUAGUGGCCCCGUCAGGUAUGUUAUCAGGUUCGCCGAUAUCCCGUAGAACGCAAAUCUCUCUGUAAUCUCCACACCUUCAAAUUAAUUAUUCUAUUUUUAGUUAUUCACCACAUAUCCACAAUUCGGAAAAAAAAAAAAAGGUCAACUUGUUUUGUUUCCUCAUAUAUAUUUUUUAAAAAAAUCCAAACUAAGUGUUAAUGAAAUGUCAAUCAGUGAUUAGACGGCGAAAAAGUGAAAACUACGAAUAGAUCUAGAGAGAGAAAGAAAAAAGAAAAAUAAUUACCGAUGACGAAGAGGGCGGAGGUCCAGCCGCCGGAUUCGGAGCGGGAGACGGGGCGGCCGCGGAAGUCGACAGCGCCGACGAUUUUGGGGGAUUGUUGGGGAAGCAGGUUGAGAUUGAGGAGGGGGUCGUCGAAAUCCAUCGUGAUGCGCUUCCACUCUCUAUUUCUUUAUCUCACUAUUUCUCUCUUUUUCUCUCUCUCUCUCUCUCUCUCUCUCGUACUUACUUUACUGCACUAAUGCAGCAAUAUCGUUUCCUCUGCAGUUGUUACUGCUUUUUAAGGGAGAGAAUUUUCCUUUUUUAACUUUUUCUACUUGUGAUGUAAUGUGAUUUGGAAAGAUAUGGACACGUGUCUGAUGUUGAUCGGUUUGGUUUUCGAUUUUUUUUAGAAAAAAAUGGUACGCAAUCCGUUUGGAGGAAUGCUUAUGAAAUUGCCCCUAAAAUUUUGUACGAUAUUUAUAAAAUUUUUAAUUUUACAAAAGUAUUUAUGAAAUUUCUAAAUUUAGAGGGAUGCUUAUGAAAUUGCCCUUAAAAUUAAUUCUAUUUAUUUUCCUUAGCUAGGAAUAAGGGAUUCCCCAAUCACAUACAUAAAACUUAGCUAAAAUAUAUAUAGGUCAUUCUAAUUCGACUAUCCAACCUUUCAAAAUUUUGAUUUUGGUAUCCAACGUUCAAUUUGUUUGAUUUAAGUAAUUUGAUAACUCUUUGGAUAUAACAAUUGCUUAUUUUAAUAAAUUUAUAAUUAUGUAAAUUAUAUAAAAUAUACUAACUAUAUCCGUAAAUAUAAAUAACGCAUUCAAAUUUAGAAGUUAAAAAUUAUUAAUUGACUCAAAUUUAAAAAAAAUUAAAAUUUUAGAUAGCAAUCAAUAUUUUUAAAGAUAGAUAGUUGAAUCUAAACCGGUGAUAGUUGAGAUGAUUUUAUACAAUUUUACCCACAGUUUAUACUGAGUGAAAAAUGUUGUUAUCAGCAGUGUUGAUACAUGAAAAUGAAGGGAAAAUUAACUAUGUAUCCCUCAAAAUUUUUGAAAUAUCUUAUGUAACCCCUACUUUUUUUUUUGUUUUAAAUAUAUCCUUCGUAUAUUUCUCUAUUAUUUAAAAAUAACUCGCUUUUAGUACCCAUUAAAUUAUUCCAAGUUAAACCCGGAUUAAAUUUUUACCAGAGUUAAAAAAAGUCAAAAUACCUAUUUUGUCCCUAACUUACUAAUCUAUUUUCUUACUUUCUUAUUUAUCCCGCUUAGAAGGCUUUAUAUGAAAAAUAUUCUUCAAAUGUUUCAAGUUCUUUUAAAUUUACUCCUUGAAAAGUGGGUGAUAGUAGAAGAGAAUAUUUGAAUAAUCAAAAUAGUAAUAUUACAGAGACGGCGAUUGUUCAUAAUGGUUCACUAACAGAAUCUAAUUUUAGAAAUAUAUUUAACAAAACUCGAAAUGUUAGAGGAGUAUUUUCAUAUUAACCUUUUAAGCGGGAUAAAUAAAAAAGUCUGAAAUUUUUCAUGGGUAUAUAAGCAAUUACCCCUUAAUUGAACGUUGCUAGGUGGUAUAUCUUUUCAGUAUAACCGGAUUUGCUGUAGUCGUGUUAUAUUGUAAUGAAAAAUGCUACAUGUACACCUCUUUAUAGAGUGUGCAUCUUAAACUCCUUUAGUCCAAGAGUUUAAACAAUUGAAAAGAUUUUUGGUAUUUUUUUUUUUAAAAUUUGAUGUUACAAAGUAAGAGAACAAACGAAAUCUGAUCAAGAUAUUUGUGUAAUUAGUUAGUUCACUUGAAGAGCAGAACCGAUUAAACUACUUGAUAAAAUUUUUAAAAUUUUUUUUAUUAAAAUUGAAAGUUCAGACGGUUAUUUGCAACCUAAAGUUAAGCAGGUCACCAUGUUAAGUGGUUUUUCUUUUUCUUUUCUUUUUUUUUUUUCCAAGAAGUGACAUAAUAUUGUCAAAAUAGUUUAAGUUAUCUAAUGACCCAACUCACUAGUAUUAAGGGCUCAACCACCAGCCCAAAAUAUUUAAGCCUAGUUAUUAUGUUUAACCUAGUCAAGCUUAUAUACUUUCACAUUUAGUCAUAACUAUCCGAUUUGGGAUUAUUAAGGUGUUAUAGGUUAUUACCUGAGUAUAUUGGAUAUUUUUAAAGCUUUGAAAAAUAUAUUACAUAUUAUCUUUUUUAAUAUUUUUUGAAUUUCUUUGUCAUUGUUCCAAAAAUACCUGACAACUAAACACGCAUGUGCAGGCUUAGGGAGCACUAAUCUUCUGCUAUCUAAUAAGGGCUUUAUUUUAUAUUUUAUGUUUUAUUUUAUUUUAUUUCAUUUUUUUGAUCUUCUUCGUAUGAUCCGAGGCUUCAGAUCGCCGCUGAUCGGGGAUGGUCUAGGUGAGCUACAGUACUUCUCAAAUCUUGUCGCUAAUAUCUCCCUAUCUGCUGAGGAGGAUUCGAUUGCUUGGAGAUGGAAUAGAGAUGGGAAAUUCUCUGUCCACAGUGUCUACAACUUUCUCAUCUUUGGGGGAGUCAUUGAUAGCAGGAUCCUUUACAUAUGAAAAUUAAAAAUACCACUCAGGAUCAAGUUUUUUCUUUGGCUGGCCUCAAGGAAUAGGGUUCUAACGGCGGAUAAUUUGUCCAAGCGUGGCUGGCAGAGACCUUCGAUAUGUGCUCUUUGUCGCAAGAAUGAAGAAAAGCUGGAACAUAUACUAUUUGAAUGCAAGUUCGCAGUGCACCUGUGGACCAUUCUCCUAUAAGGCAUGCCGAAUACUGCACACACUCUGUUAAACCAACCAGCCGACCUUCAGUCCAGAUGGAUCUGAGCAAGAAAGACACAAUCUGGACACAAAAAUCCUCUUUGAUUUAGGCUUUGCUGCGACUUGUUAGGAACUAUGGAAAGAAAGAAACUUUAGAAUAUUUGAAAAUCGAGAAGCGGAAUGUGGGGAUGUGGGUAACAAAAUCUUUUCAUCUGUUAUUCUUUGGAUCUCUUUUCUGACGGGAUAGUGAGCAACAAAGGUGUAUUCACACUAUGGCGCUCUACUGACGUCCCUGUUUGAUGUACUUUCUCAAAUAGGGGGGCCCCCUGUUUAAUCAAAAAAAAAAAAAAAAAAUUUUUACAGAAUUGAUUUUGAUUUACAGAGUUGAUUUUUGGUUAAAAAUGAUUGAGGGUUUGGCUGAGCCUAACAACAAAGUAAUUUUUCUGAAAUGAUUUUAUAAAGCUGUUUAGUAAAUAUAUUUAUUGUUUGCAUCUAAUAAGUUUUUUUGCUAGUUUUUAUUUUAAAGUUUGAACCAAAAUUUUGAAUUUGACUUAAUUUUUUUAAAAUUUUAAAUUUUAAACGUUGAGAAAAAUUUAAAAUUUGUUAUUGAAUUUAAAAUUUUAAAUUAAAAUUAAAAUUUUAAAUUUUGAAAAUUUACAAAUUUCAAAAUUUAAAUCUAAAUUUAAAAGUUACAAAAUUUUAAUUCUAACUUUAAAGUUUAAAUUUAAAUAUAGUUAUAGAUUUAAAUUUAAAUUUAAAAUCUGAAUUUAAAUUUAAAAUUAAAUUUUGAUUCUAAGAUUUAAACUUUAAAUUUUAAUUUCGAGUCCAAAAUUAGAAUCGGAUUUCAAAAAGUAGAUUUUAGUUGCUUCUAAUUUUGGGCCUUUUAAAUUAGAAAACUGAUUCUAAAAAUCAGAUCAGAUUUUGAAAAUGUGUCCAAUUUUAAAUCCUACAUUUAGUAGUCUCUUUCGACAUAGCCAAACACCCUAUUGAAGGAAAGAUCACUUUUGACCCUAAAAUCACUUUUCAGAAUCUAAACCAAACAUCCCCUAAGUUAGAAAUUAUUUUAUUUUGUUUGAAGGCUGUCUGUUCUAAUGUAAAAGAAGAUAAAGUCAUCUCAGAAAAAAAAAAGUUGCAGCAGGGAAAAGCUGUCAAAUUUACCACUGUCAUUUGGUUGUUUGGUUGUCAAGAUCCAACAUUUACAUUUUAAUGGAUCUAAUAUUAUUAUUUCAUUGUUUGUGAUUCUGAUUCAACAUAAUUGAAUUUGAAUCAAAUGGAGGAAAUAUAUUGGUUAAUUAUGGUUCAACCAAGUUCAUCCCUUUGGGAGGAAAUAUAUAGCAAUAUACACACCAAUGAAACACCUAAAACCAAGAAGAUUUUACAUUAUGAAAACAUGUUUUUACAGCUUAAAUAAAUAAAUACACAUUAAACUGAGAAAAAAAGAAUUUAUAAGACAGAGAACAUAGCUAGAAAUAUUUGUCACCAAUUUGAAUGUUCAUAAUAACCACAUUACCGCCUUCUAACUUUCCUAAUCUCUUUAUCUUAUAUAUAGAGAGAGUUGAGCUCAUGUGCUUUUAAAAGCACAGAAAUAUUUGUGCUGCACACAUGUUUCUGUGCUUUUAAUAGUGCUGCACUGAUCUUGAGGCGAUGGGACAAUUAAAAAGUUACAUAUGUGCUUUUAAAAGCAUAGGGGCUCAUCUCUCUCUCUCUCUAUAUAUCAGUAAUGUUCUUCUUCUUCUUGUAUGCAUAGGCUUGUGCAAAGUAGAGAUAAACAAUCAGCUCCACAGCACUAAGCCCAGCAAGAAGCCAGUAGAAGUAGUGGAGAUGCGCGCGGUUCAAAUUGUUCGGGAACCAACCAUCGCCGCUGCUCUUCGUCGUUUUGUCGAUCACGGAUAUGAGGAAGCUACUUAUGAAGCUCCCUAUUCCGAAAAUGCUCAAGUACAGGGCGAGACCGAGGCUUCGCAACGUAUCAGGCACUUGGUCGUAGAAGAACUCCUGUAGUCCGACCAUUGUGAAAACGUCCGCGACGCCGAAAAGGACGAAUUGAGGAACUAUCCACCACAAACUCAUCGGAAUCGCGGCUUUUGGCUGGUCCACCAAACCAAAGUCUCGAGCGGUUUUGAUCCUUUUCGUCUCCACCAGUGCCGCUAUUACCUGUUGAUCGCAUAAAGAUAGAAAAACAUCGUUCUCUAGUAACUUUAACUUUUUACAUAUGAUAGACGAUUUUGCAGGGAUAUAUAUAUGUGUAUAAAACCCAGAUCAACGUAGAUCAAGAUUUUAGACAAAAAUAAUUAUUUAUCGUUACCAUCGAUAUCAUCGAAAGGACCAUCCCCGUGCCGAUUCUUUGAAGCAUAGUGAUUCCCGCGGGGAUCCCCGUGAAUCUUCUGGAAACUGGGACGAGUAUUCGGUCGUAUAUGGGAAUGAAUGUGACAAUAGAGAGACUGAUGAAACUUUGCAGUGCGGCGGGGGGGACUUGGAACUUCGAACCGAUUCUUCGGUCUAACGUGCUCGCUUGCUUUAUGAAGAAGGUCGACGAUUGUGCGAAAACAACACCGUAUAUCAAGCAAGUCGCCCAUAUAGGGAACAAUCGGAGGACAGCCUUCGCUUCUUGUAAAUUGUCGUCGUUAUCGGUGCCUCGAUCUCCCUCACUCGAAGCCCUACAUGACGAAGCGGAGUUAGUUUUAGCAUGAAGGUUAUGGAACAGUGAGCUACCGCGUAAAAAGGAACAUUUUAAGAUCUCGAGAACUUAUACUUGGUAGCUCGGAAACUUCUAAUCCACGCCACGAAAGCUUUCCCUAUCCGAGCACACGGGCUCUCCUCAUCAAGAACGUAGUAUCGGUAUGUCCUCGUCCCGAGCAAAAAGACGACGAGAGCGGAGAACAUGAUGAUGCAUGGGAUCCCGAACCCUAGCCCCCAUCCAAUGUUGUCUUGGAUGUAGCUUAACACUAUAAGUGUCACCAUCGUGCCGGCGCACAAUCCAAAGUACCACCAGUUGAAGAACGAGCUCUUGGCGAUGCGUUCCUCGGGGUCGGUCUCGUCGAAUUGGUCCGCACCAAACGCCUGAACGCACGGCUUGUGGCCGCCCUGCGCGAGGGCCACUAAGUAGAGGGAGACGUAAAAGAAGGCGACUUUGAAAGACGAAUGCACGCAUUUGGUUCCGUCGAUAGCAUCGCGAUCGCAUCGCGAUAGAACGGAGGACAAGGUCAGCAUUCCCAGGGCCUGCAGGUAGCUCAAAUUUUGUUACAUAGAAAUGGAGGUAACAAAAUGUAUAUAAAAAAAAAUGUUCUGUAUAUUGUAGAUGCUUUGGAAGGCGAAGAACAAUUUAAACAUGUAUUUUAUGCACAUUUGAAAAUGUUUUUUUUUUUUUUUUUGGUGGCAAUUGAGUGAUUUUUACAAACGGAAAUAAUUUUUUUUAAAAAAAUUCAUGUGUGAAGGAUCUCAUGUGUGAAGGAUCUUAGUUGAAAAACUUUUAACUACGAAUAACAACCCAAAUAAAAAGUCUAAAGUCAAGGGAUCAUAAUAAAAUAAAAAAAGUAAUUAGAGAUGUUUAUUUCAAGCCUUAUAAGAGUACUCAUAAAAUUGUCCCUUUAAUGGUCAAAAAUAUUACUCCUACCUUUUAGAGGUAAAUUCAUCAUUUAAUAAACAAAAAUAUUAAUGGUGAUAAUUUUCUGCAUCCGAAGAGAUAGAAACGAUUUUUUAAACUUUCUAGUGAUAUUUAAAAAAUUUAUAAAUUUUAGAAGUAUUCCGAUAAAAUUACUCUUUUUUUAAAAAAAGAUAUUAUCGUAAAAAGUAAAGUUAUUAUCUUCUAUAUACCUACAAAAUUUUUAAUUUUUUUUGUUUGGUUUAGUAUAGUUACGCUUAAUUGUAGCAGUUGGACGGAAGUCAACUCACCCAUUCAAAGAAAAAAGGUAAUUUUUUUAGCUAAAUUACAUAAACCCCUCUGUCAAAACCUAAUUUUUCACUUUCUCUCCUGUCAUUUAAAAACCUACACUUUGUCCUCUUGUAAAAUAAAAAAAAGGUCACAGGGAGUACGGUGGAAACUGUGAUGACAAAAUAACCAUUUUGUCCCUCACUAUUUUUUGCAACAGGAGAGAAAACUGAGAGCAUUUUUGGCAUAAAAAAAUAUAUAAUAAUAUUUUAUAAACGGAACCCUAACAGAUCACUAACGGUAGGGGGUGAAGUGAACAUUUUUUAUUUUAUAAGGGGGCAAAGUAUACGUUUUUAAAUGACAAGAAAAGAAAGCAAAAUAUCGAGUUUUAACAGGGGUUUUUUCUAUAAUUUAACCUUUUUUUUUUUUUUUUUUUUUUUCGUAAGCUUCACUUUUUUUCAUUUUAAGUAUGACCUAACAUGAGUUUUAUUUUAUCUUUCCUAUCUAUCUAAAAAAUGGUAGAAUUUAUAAAUACAAAUUAGCCUACCAAACAGUAAAAAAUAUAACUGCAGUAGUUGCAACUGUAUAGAACCAAACAAACUAGUUGUAGUUACGACGGCAGUAUUUGCAACUGCGCAUAUAUUCAAUUACACUAUUUUUGCACUACGUCUAACCAAACAGCCCCUAAGAAGUUGUGUGGUCAGAUGUAAUUAGAAAUGCAUUAUAGCUGGAGAUCAAUGCAGUUGAAAAAUGGAGUAUUUAUAACUACAUACAUUUUAUUUGGACCUUUUUUGAAAUAACCCUAUAGAAUUUUCUAAUUGGAUAAAUAAUCCUAUAAAUUUUUUUUUUGACAAACUAACACUCGUUUUGCCAUGUAGGAGGCAUGAUAAAAGAUGGUGAUUCAUUAACCGCCUCCACGAAGGCGGUUAACGAUUCACUGUCUUUCAAAUUUUUUCACAAAAAUGAUGAAUCAUUCAUUAUCUUUCCUUUAAUAUGUAUAUGUUUCUUUCUAUUUUUAUAUAUAAUUUUGACAAUCAUAUAAAAUUUUUAAUAAAUUACAUAAAAUUUUAAUAACCUAAAAAAUACUAAUAAUCUAAAACAAAAUUUCUAAUAAUCCACACAUAAUUCUAACAAUCUCACAUUUUUCUAUCUCAUAUAAUAUAAUCCUAACAACCAUAUAAAACUUUUGGCAAAUCGCAAAUAAUCUUGAUAACCUAAAAAAUCAUAACAAAUAUUUUUAAGAAGACGGUUAAUGAUUUACCGUUUUUAGUAAAAAAAAAAUUAUAAAGACAGUGAAUCAUUCGUCUUUUUAAAGGCAGUAAACGAUGAACGAUUGAUUGCUUUUAAAAGAAAAUUCCACCCAUGCACUAACUUGGCAAAAGAAUAGUUAUGUAAUUAAAUAUUUUUUUAGGAGAAUCAUUUAGCCCAUUAUAAUAUUUUUUAGGAUUAUUUGGAAAAAAAAUCCUCUUAUUUCGUUGGGUAUAACAAAACAUAUUAUAAUUAUAAAAAAAAUAUUUAAUUACAUGCAGUUAAGAAGUGUAUUUUUAAAAUUUUAUACGUGGCAAGUGGCAAAGGGUUUGGUGGUUGGUACCUGAGACCAAGUUCGAACCCUAAUUGAUUCACGUUUCCAGCUAAGUUUAUUUCUAAAUGAAAUAAACGAAACGGGUAGCACGCUACCUAUUUCUCAAAAAAAAAAAAAAAAAAAAACUAUUUUACAUAUGUGUGAUGGUAAGAUCACCUUCAACAUGGAAAAGAAAAAUAUGUUUUUGUUCGCAAACUAAUAAGAGAGGUAAGCUCAUCUUUUGUUCAAAGUUACUCUUCUUAAUUACUGUAGCUGGAAUUGUGUCGAAUUUGAUCAUAAUUUUAACUACAGCAGUUAGGCCUAUUCAUGCAAUUUCAGCUGUAUCAAAUGGAUUAAAAUAUAUCAAUUAAAUACUAAAUUUGAAUAUAUAAAUAAUAACAACUGCAGUACAAUUAUAAUUAUAUGCAAGGAUGAUUGGGACAAAAAAUUUGAUGGGCAUCGGCCCCAAACAACUUGUUUGGGGGCAGAACCGAUGGGCGCCGUGUGGUGUGCGGCGCCCAUCGCGACCCUCGAAAACGGAAAAAAAAAACAUGUGGGCUCCGAUCUUUUAGAGAGAGGGAGAGAGAAAGAAGCCGGUGGUGGAAGGGGGGUGGUCGCGAUGGGCGCCUGUACACCACGCGGCGCCUAUCAGCUCCGUCCUUGUUUGGGGAUAGAUGCCCACCAAAUUUUUGUCCCGAUGAUUGUUCCUAAUGUUGACACUAAAGUAUGAAUCAUCUGAAUCUAAUUAUUAUUUUUUGAUUGAUUUGAUCAGAUCCAAAUAACCUUGCACUCUGCACGCAUUAAAGAUGACUUGUUGACAUCAAUUUCCUCAUUGAGAGUACCCACCAACAACUAAAAUAUCAGCAGAGUUUUUGCGCAUUUGUGGGUCCAUAUAUUAGAUGUAUUGAUGCGUCCAUGUUUUCUCACACACAUACACACACACACACACAAAGGCUGUGUUUGGUUCGGAUAUAAAUAAGAACUGCUUAUUUCAUAAAUAAAUACAAGUUCUGAUCUGAGCAGAAACUAGAAAAGUUUGCGUUUGGAUAAAAAUUAGGUUGUUUUUAGGAAUAAGAUAAAUAGUAUUUAGAUAAUUAGAUUGAAACAAGGGAAUAAGAGUUAUAAUUUUAAAUUAAAAUUAUUUUAUCUAAUUAAUUAACAUCAAAAUAUUACUUAAAAAUGAUUUAAUAAACUAAUAAAUUUAUUAGCUAUGAAUAUUAUAUAAGAUAAUAAAAAAAUAUUAAUUAAUUAAUUAAUUAUAAAAAAUAAUUUAAUUUUUUAAUUAGUUAGUAAAUUAUUUUAGCUAGAUAACUAGUAAAAAAAUUAAUUAAAUUAAUAGAAAUAUUAAUGGUUGAUCAAUAUAAAUAUUAAUUCGAAUAAAUAUAUUAAAUUAUUAAUAAUUAAUUAUAAAUAAUAAAUUAAUUAAUUAUUUUAUUAUUUAAUAAAUAUAUAAUGAUUUAAAUAUAGUAAUUAGAUUAAUUAAUGAUUUAAUACCAUAAUUAAAAUUAAAUUUAAACUUUAAUUAAUCUUGUUCCCUUCUUGGAGUAAGCUUGUUUUAGGAAAAGGAUGGAACAGUAGUUCUAGUCUUAUACCAGAUUAUUCUAAAAAAUUAAGAACUACUGUUCUCGGAUAUCAAAUACUGUGUUUGAAAACAAAGUGGGGAACAAGGACUUAUUCCCCCGUCUUGUUUCCGAACCAAACAAUGCCAAAAGGUCCCUGUAACGUUUCUAAAUAAGGCAAGAUUAAUUUUCUUUUUCAUUUAAUUUUUGCUAAUUUAACAAGGCAUAAUUGGAACGUCAUUUGCCUAAAUCGUAUGCACUUGAAACACUACAAAAUCGACGUACAUUAAAAAACCUUCCGAAAUUGUCAAAAUCAAAAACUCUAUUCAAAAUUUAAAAAAAAUUAUCAAAACUUUCUAUGUUCCUAACAUUACAUUAAAAAAUAUGACUAAUACUAAUUUUACUCCUCCAAUUGAUUGUCAUCUUUUUCCACGAAUAACAAGAUAAAUUGGACAUUAUCAAUUGAAAUAGAUACAAAGUUAAAAAAGAUGAUGGCAUAAAUUAAACAAAAAAUUAUUCAAAUUAUAAACUGAAUUAAAGAAAGUUGUCCUAAGUUAUAUAAAUUGAAUAAAAAACUAUUAAAUUAUAUGAUAGUUAGCUAUAGUAAGGGAUAAAUAAGUUUUUUUUUUUUAUUUUCUAACUCCUAUAAAAUUCUAACGAAAAUUAAAGAGAAGUGUUUAUAUACGAUAUUAUUUGUGGAUUUAUAGGUGUAAUGUUGAUACUGACAUUUUUGAAGUGAUAUAUGUAAUAUUUUUAAAGUUUUAAGGGAAACACUUAAAGAGUGUUUAUUUCACUGAAAUCGGACAAAGGUGAAAUAGUUUUCGAGCGUAAAUAUUCAUUUUUAUUGUUUAGUUUACUGUAACUUCACAUUCGGUCGUAACUCAAACUCUCCAAAAUAACGUAUUUAUUUUUGGUCCACGUCAAUUACCAAAAAAAAAGUGAGAAACAAAUAGUAAAAUAUUAAUCCAUCUCUCAUACCUACGGCGUUUAUGUCGUUUACUUUCAUAAACAACAGAAUUGAAAGAAUUUUAGUUUUAUUGUUAUAUAAAUAAACUGUAAAAGAAAUUUAAUUUUACCUAAACUCUAGUUCAUCCUAAUAUCUACUUCAACAUAGGCUUAACAUUACUUCAAUCUAGAAUGAGAAAGUAAACUUUACCUACCAACCCCCGAAAAUUAUCUUUUCCAUCUUUAGUCCUCCUAGAGUCACCAAAGAAAUCCGUUAUAGGGCCCGUUUGGUUCACCGUAAAACUGUAAAAAAUAAUUCAUAAAAAAAUUUUGAUGGAAAAAAAUUUUUACAUUUUGUAAUGUUUAGUUUGUAAAAAAAAAAAAAUAGUUUUUCAUCAAUCUUUAUUUUUCAAAGAAAAAAAUAUUCACAUUUUCUUGGUUCGGUGAAAAAAAAAUUGAAUGGAAAAGUUUUACCAGCUCGAGUUUUCAUUUUCCGUCGAAAAACAGUAAAAAUAAUUUUACGAAAAAAAUAUUUUUACGUCGAAUCAAAUAAGCGAAAAAUAUUUCUCAUACCGAAAAUAUUUUUUUGAUUUGUUUUAUGCGGAACCAAAUGCGCCCUAAAGCGAAUUGAAUAAGGAAAGAAAAGGCCAAAAUAGAAAAUAGUUCCACAGCGGGGGUGAAGUACAAAUUAUUAGCUGGACUUAGAAAAAAAAAAUAUUUUUCUUUCAUACUAUUUUUCAUUUAUUUAUACCACUUUAUAUGAAUAUAAUUUAGUAAAUUCCACUAAUAAUUCCAGAUCUUUUUAUUCAAAUUUCAAUUUGGUCCGUGAAGUUUUUAAAAUUACACACGCCAUAUAUAUCGCCAAAGUUUCUGUAGUGCCUUUAAUAGGGAUGUCAAUGAGUAUGGAUAUCCGAAAUUUUAUCCGAACCUGAACCCGAAUGAAACGGAUAUAUCCGAUGGAUAUGGAUAUGGAUAUAAAAAAUAGAAACCCGACGGAUAUAGAUUCGGAUAUGAAUUUUGAUUGUACCCGACCCGAACCCGAAUCCGACCCGAACCCGACCCGAACCCGAAUUUAUUUUGUAUUAUAUAUAAUAUAUUUAUAAAAAUUUGAUGUUAUAUUUGAAUUUGUAUUUUAAAAAUUCAGAUUUAAUAUAAUAUUUUUUGAAAUAUUGAAAAAAGAAAUAAUUGUUUCGGGUUCAAAUUUUCAGGUUCGGGUUCGGGUUCGGAUUUCGAAUUUUUGGUCGGGUUCGGGUUUGGAUAUGGAUUUUUAAAAUUCAUCGGGUUCGGGUUCGGUUUCGGGUCUCGGGUUUAGAGUCGGGUUCUCAUCUUGGAGAAAAAAUUAUUGUAUACCUAUCUCAUAUUUCGUAUCCUAUUAUGAAUUAUACGUAGUAAAAUAUUUUACAAUUGAAUUAUAAAAUGAAAUAUAUGAAGGAUUGAUAGAUUCAUCUCCAAUUUCAAAAGAAAAAUACUAAGUUUACAACCCAAAGGGUCCCUCGUCCAUGGGGUCGUAGAGUUUACAAAUUUUUUUAUAAUUUUAGUUAAAAAGAAAAUGAUAUGAUAAGUUUUUUUUUUUAAAAAAAAAGCGUUUGAAUGUAUAAGAUUAUAAAAUUAUAAUUCAAAAUAGGUUGUAGACCGAGCAUUGCUCAUUUCAAAAUUAAUACAGUUUAGAUCUAGCAAGUGUUGAGAUUUUACGUGUGAGUUAAUUAUAGUAAUUGUUUAUAAUCUUUUACUGAGUUAUUCGUCAAUUAAAUUAGUUUUUUUUUUUUUCGAAUUCUCCAAAAUUUACGUCAAAUUGUAUAAUUUUAAUCACUUCUUAACAAAUAAAAUCAUACUAGUUGACGACUAAUAAUUGGAAAAGGAAAACUUGAGGGGCCUCUUUCACUAAGCACUAUAGUUGAGGGGUCUCCCUGUAUUUUUACCUAGCUCUUCGUCAAACUUUUGGGAACUAGUAGUGCAAAAUCAUUUAUGGCCAAAUUAUAUAAACAAAAAUAUCUUGCACUUUAGUUUCAGUCUUAAUUAUUUCUUGCAUUAAAAGGCGCAUUAAUUACCACCUAUAUUUUAUUACCUUAUCAAAAAUAUAUCUAAGAACUUAAAAAAUUGAUAAAUUAGACCGUAAUACAACGCUAAACAAUUUAUUGAACAAUUUGUUCGAUUUAUAUAAUUCUAUUGUAUUACUUUUCAAUAAAUUUAUGUAUAUAUAAAUCCGUUUAACAAAAGUUUGCAGUUGAAUUCAACAAUUAUCUCUAAACAUAUUUGGGACAACGAUAAAAUAUAAAAGAAUAAUUAAUGUAAUUUUUAUGAUUGGGAGAUAAUUGAUAUAGACGCUAAAGUGUAAGAGGAUUUUCUAUAAUUUAGCUAAAAAAAAAAUAGCGGAGUUGAGAAAUAAGGACGACUAACGAGGAUGUAGAGGAGGGAGGCGAGGACGAUGGUGCGGAAGCGGCCGAGGAACGAGUCGGCGACGAGGGCGCCGAGGAGGGGGAGCAUCGAGGCGGUGCCGUUCCACGUGUUUAUCGCCGCCGCCGCCGAUGCCGUCCCCUCCCCCAGCGGCCCCGUCAGGUACGUUAUCAGGUUCGCCGAUAUCCCGUAGAACGCAAAUCUCUCCGCAAUCUCCACACCUUCAAAUCAAUUAUUCUAUUUUUAGUUAUUCACCACAGAUCCCCAAUUCAGGAAAAAAAAAAAAAAGUCAACUGCUUUUUAUUUCCUCAUAUUUAUUUUUUUUAAAAAAUCCAAAGUAAGUGUUAAUGAAAUGUCAACUCAUAGAUUAGACCCCGAAAAAGUAAAAAUUUCGAACAGAUCUAGAGAGAGAAAGAGAAAAAAAAAAGAUUACUGAUGAUGAAGAGGGCGGAGAUCCAGCCGCCGGAUUCGGAGCGGGAGACAGGGCGGCCGCGGAAGUCGACGACGCCGACCAUUUUGGGGGAUUGUUGGGGAAGCAGGUUGAGAUUGAGGAGAAGGGGGUCGUCGAAAUCCAUCGUUAUGUGCUUCCACUCUGAAUCUCUUUCUCUCCCUCUUUCUCUUUCUUUUCUUUUUUUUUUUUUUUGGUGCUUACUAGAACUACAUUAAUGCAGGAAUGUCGUUUCCUCUUCAGUGUUAUUACUGUUUUUUAAGGGAGAGAUUUUUCCUUUUUUAACUUUUUCUAUUAGUGACGUGCUGUGAUUUGCGAAGAUAUGGACACGUGUUCGAUGUUGAUCGGUUUGAUGUUCGAUUUUUUUUUUUUUUUUUUGUUAAAAGAGGAUUAAUUUUAUAUAUGUCCCUGCAAAUAUAGUAAAUAAUAAAUAUAUUCCUACAAAGUUCAACUUUAAUAUAUUGUUUCUAUAAAAAUUUUAAUAUUUUCAAAUAUGUCCAUCUAAUUUGUUAUCGUUACAGAAUUGUUAGAAAACCGUUUAUAUUUUCAAUUUUGCCAUCACAAAUCUAUCUUUUCAAAAGUUAUACUAGUAUAAUAUAAAAGAAUAAAAAUGUCAAAAAACUAAUUAGAAUUAAGUAUUUAAUUUAUGGUUAACUAACUUUUUCUAACGGAUUCUAACGGCAGAGACAUAUUUGAAAACAUCAGGAUUUUUACAAAGACAACAUAUAAAAGUUGAACUCUGUAGGAAUAUAUAUUUAUUGUUCAUUAUGUAUACAUGGACAUGUAUGAAAUUAACCUAAAAUAGAAUAGCAUGCUAUCCUCUUCAUUUAUUUUUUUUUUAAAAAAUAAACUUAACUGACAAUUUGAAUCAACUAGAAUUUGAACUUGAAAUCUCGAGUAUCAACCACCAAGCCCUUUGAUACUUGCACGGGGACGGUCGGCACUGUUCGACUUCUCGAUGUAAGAAAACCAAUAACCUUGUGCCACGUGGUAAGUUGGCAAAAAUUUUGAAUGUUAAGUCAGCUGUAUCUUUAUUUAUUGUAAACAUAAAACAUGCAUAGAGAUUUCUUCAAAUUAUUCGAGACCACUUAUAUAUGGUUUGCACUAAUUAAAUAUUUUUUUAAAAAAAAUUUAUUUGUACAUUUUAAAAAGAGGACGUAGAUUUUACAUUUCUUAUUCUAAAGUUUAUAAAAAUUUAAAUAAUUUUAGUAAAAAAUAAAAAAAAUUGAUGUGACAAGUUAAAAAUUAAGUCCUUGGAUGGAGUAGGUAUAAAAUAUAUGCAAUAUUUUUUUUUUAUUUAUUUAUUUUUUUUUUGAGAGAUAGAUAGCACGGUACCCGCUUCGUCUAUUUCAUUUAGAAAACAAACUUAGCUGAAAAUGUGAAUCAACUAGAAUUCGAACUUGAGACCUCAGAUACCAACCAUCAAGUCCUUUGCCACUUACUUUAGGGACGAUCAGUAUAUACACAAUAUUUUGAAGUGCAUUAGUUGCAUUGCUUAUUUUUAAAAGCACAUCCUGAUUGGAAUUACGCAUUCAUCGUAUCAAUAAUCUCAAAAAGCAUGUACUAAUAUGAAGGACACAUUUAUCGCACAAAAAGGCUCAGCCACAACAUUCACGGAUUUUGACUUAACUCUAUUCACCUGAACGUUCAGUCAAUUGUUAGGUUUUUGUCAUUAGGCCUAUUAUGGAUUGUAAUCUCACUCAAUUUAUUAGACUCUUAGGCCUAUUGUCACGGGGCGUGAAGUUGGAUCUAAACCUAUUUUAGUCAAUAAUAAAUAGACAUGUAAUGGGUCAGUCACCAUGCUUACUGGCAUUGAGCAGACUCAAUUCAUCUGAAUGUUAGGUCAAUUGUUGGGUCUCUUAUCGUUAGGUUUAUUAUAAACUAUAGUCCCACUCAACUUAUUAGCCUACUGGAAAUAUUGUCACAAGCACGAAGUUGAACCUAUUUUAGCUAAUAAUGAAAGCCGAUAAUCUACCCAAGAUUCUGCAAUAGCACACCGAACUUUUCUUUUCUUUUCUUUAAAAUCAACACAUUCUAAACUUUUAUCUUUUUUAGAAUCAAAUGUUUUAACAAAAAAUUUGAGAGUUUUUUAUUGCAUUUAACAGUUUUAAUUAUUUUAUACCAAAUGAAAGCAUACUAAUUAAUUGGUAAUAGCCAAUUAAUUCCCUAAAUUUAAUUAAAUUUAAAAUUUUUUUCUUGGAUAACUAGAAUAACUCAAAUCAAAUAAAUCCAAGUUAAAAGAUAUAUAUAUCAAAAUAAUUAAAGUUGAGGGACCUGUUUCAGAAUAGCCUAUAAUUGAGGAUAUCUUCAUACAUUUUUACCCUAUCUUUAUAUAAUAAACAUCAUGUGAGAAACGAGGUGGAGUACAGAGAUUGUAAAAUAAUGAACUUAUUAAAAUUUAUAAUAUUUAGAAAUAAUUUCACAUGUAUUCCAGCAAAUAUAUAAUAUUACGGAUAGAGUUUUCUAAAGUUUAAGUUAUCAAAUUUGUUUCUUUAAAUGUUCCGACUCAUACAUAUUUUGCACUCUAGUAUGAUGUAUUUAAUUCAUUAUAUUUUUUAACAUUUAAUAAGUAAAACGACCAUAUUACUAAUGUAAUUUGUUCCUCCAAAUAUUGUCAACAGCUAGAAUAUGCAAGUAUAUUCUUUCAAAAUAUUCCAACAAUCAUUUGUUUCUUCCUUUAAUAUACAAUAUAUAGAGCUAGACUGGUAUACUAUUGGUAGCACGGAGGCCUCUGUGCUACCAAAUUGUUUUCAAUAAUGUAGCUUUCAAAUCGACGAUCGGCUCUGCUGGACUUGAUUUACACUAUUGAAAGUAUUUGAAAACAAAAUUUCAUAAUUUUUCGACAUUAUUUGACUACUGAUCAAAAAGUUUCAAAAUUGACAAUUUUAAUGAUAAAUGAGAUGCAUUUGUGAAUUUAACGGUGUAAAACAAUCCAAAUUUAAUGAAAUUUUUAUAAAAAUUCUUUGAACUAUUUAGAGUAAGAUCAAUAUCUUUGAUCUUAAAUUCAAGUCUUUUAUCAUUAUUUUUUAAGAGAUUUUUAUUUGCAGCCGUUCAUUUUUCGACUACUCGUUUGAUAGAUAAUGAUGUCGAAAAAUUAUAAAAUUUAGUUUCCAAACACUUUCAAUAGUCUAGAUCAAGUCUAACGGAGCCGAUCAUCAAUUUGAAAGCCGCAUCAUUGAAAACAACUUGGUAGUACGGAGGCUUCCGUGCUACCGAUAAUAUACCAGAUGGACUAUAUAUUGGAGUUCAGCUAGUAUACUAUCAGUAGCACGGAGGUCUCUAUGCUACCAAAUUAUUUUCAAUAAUGUAGCUUUCAAAUCGACUAUCGACUCUGCUAGACUUGAUUUACAUUAUUUAAAGUAUUUGAAAAUUAAAUUUCAUGAUUUUUCGACAUUAUUUGACUCGUGAUCAAAAGGUCUCAAAAUUGUUAAUUUUAAUGGUAAAUGAAAUGCGUUUGUGAAUUUAACAGUGUAAAAUAAUUCAAAUCUGAUGAAAUUUUUACAAAAAAUUCUUUGAACUAUUUAGAGUUAGAUCAAUAUGUCUGAUCUUAAAUUCAAAUCUUUUAUCAUCAUUUUUAAGAGAUUUUUAUUUUCAACCGUUCAUUUUUCGACUAUUCGUUUGAUAUGUAAAUGAUGUCGAAAAAUUAUUAAAUUUAGUUUCUAAAUACUUUCAAUAGUGUAGAUCAAGUCUAACGGAACCGAUCGUUGAUUUAAAAGCUGCAUCAUUGAAAACAACUUGGUAGUACGGAGGCCUCCGUGUUACUAAUAGCAUACCAGAUCUACUCUAUUGAAAGUAUUUGAAAAGUAAAUUUCAUAAUUUUUCGACAUUAUUUACCUAUCAAAUGAGUAGUCGAAAAAUGAACGGCUGAAAAAAAAAAUUUCAUAAAAAAUGAUGAUAAAAGACUUGAAUUUAAGAUCAGAGGUACUGAUCCUACUCUAAAUAGUGAAAAGAACUUUCUACAAAAGUUUUAUUAGAUUUGAUUAUUUUACACUAUUAAAUUCACAAACGCAUCACAUCGACCAUUAAAAUUGUCAAUUUUGAGACCUUGUGAUACUAGUCAAAUGAUGUGAAAAAAUUAUGAAAUAUAGUUUCCAAAUACUUUUAAUAGUGUAGAUCAAGUCUAAAUGAGUUGAUCGUCAAUUUGGAAGUCGCAUCAUUGAAAAUAACUUGGUGCUACCGAUAGGAUACCAGCCUAGCUAUAUAUAUAUAUAGAGUUUGACUGGGCAACUAUGGGUAGUAAACUGCUCGGUUUACUACCGAUUUGUUUUUGAUGAUAGAGCUUCCAAAUUGACAAUCGGCACCGUUGAACAGGAUCUAAACCAUUUAAAUUAUCUAAAAAUCAAAUUUCAUGAUUUUUGGGUAUCACUAAACGAAUGAUCAAAGGGUCACAAAAUCUAUAAUUUUAAUGGCUGAUAUGGUGCGUUUGCUCGUUUAAGGGUAUAGAAGAGUUUAAAUCAACUAAAUUUUUGUUAAAAAUUUUUUUAAACUAUUUAAAAUAAGAUCUAGACUCUAGAGUUUAAAUCAAUUAAAUUUUUCUAAGCUCCAAUUCAAGUUCAAACAUGCCAUUCCAAGAAUCGAGCUAAACAAUAUACUAAACAAAGCAAAAAAUACAUGUUGUCGACACAUAUAGAAUUAGGAGGAAACCCAUAGAAUCCGGUAAGCAUCACUUUAACCCACCUCGAAAGCGCGUCCAACAACGGCGAGAAGUCGACAGAAGCAGAACCACACGCUCGCCCGGCCUCCCCACGGCGCUACCACUAUGAACGCACGCUCGAACGGCACCGCGGCACGACGUCAGCGACAAUCCGACUCCACCCGAGCUCCUCCCCUUGCUCACGGCCAAGGACUAGAGAGAGAGGGAGAAAAUAGCAAGAAGAUCUCCUCUCUGCCUCUCUCUAUCCUAUAUAGGAGGGAAAUGAACAACGAAGUGAGAAAGACCAAAUAUGUAGAGUCCACCACAUAUUUGGUCACCCUGACGUCAAUCCAAAAGCCACCACUCGAUCGGCUGCUGUAGAGUCCACCAUCUGAGCUACGUAGACUCUGCCACUCGGAGCCUGCUGUCGGUACUCACCCUGACGUGGCGCAAAUGCUCUAUCUUCCUGGCGGUAACUUGGUGGUGUCCCAUAAGUCUGCUGGAGUGCUGGCUGUGCGGAUGCUGUCGAUGGUGCUAGUGAUGCUGCUCGAGGACAAGCUGCCCUCAUAUGCCCUGGUUGUCCACAUCCAUAGCAUCGACCCUCUCGCUGCUCGUACUGUCGAGGCCAGUGUGGUCCCCCAUAGAUCACAUACUAUGGAGUCCGCUGUGCCUGUCCAUGCUGACGGGAUCCCCCAGAACGCUAACGUCCCGAAAACCCACGAUCCUGAGAGCGUGAUCGUGGAGGUCUCGGCGGACGUCUGCUGCUCGACUGUCCCCCGUCGUCUGGAGCCGGGCGCUUCCUGUCCUGACUCUGCCCCUGUAACUGAGUCCGCUUACGGAUCGAGGCAUCACCUCUCUCCACCCAAAGAGCCUGCUCCAUAGAUGCAUCCAAGGUCCUCAACCUCUGCGCCUGAACAAACCUGAAAAUCUCGAGCCUCAAACCCUGCUCAAAUAGGUAUACCCUAUGCGCCUCGUCUCGAGCCACAAACGGAAUACAGUUCAGGAGUCGAGUAAACUCCCGUAUGUACUCCUAAACUGUCCGCUCACCCUGCUGAAUCCUCUUCAAAUCUUCCUCGAGCUUCUGUUUCACGUUGUUGGGAAAAUACAUCCCGAACAGUAUUCCACAGAACUCGUCCCACCUCAUCUGUGAAGCCACCAACCCAUAGUCUGAAAGUUUUGAGGAGCCCAAGGAUCUAUCUAGAUUGUAUCUAUCACCUAGAGAGGGGUGAAUAGGUGAACGGCCAAAAACCACAAAUCUCGAUUCAAUAAAAAUAAAUGCGGAAAAUAAAAAAUUUUUUAUAUAUUUAUAUUAUAUAAAAUUAAUAUAUAUCCGACCCACUUAUUGACUUCAAAUCAAUUUUAACCCGGUUACAACAACCAGGUAUUUUUGUUUGAGUUAUCUGUUUAUUUUCUCGUUUUAAAAUGAUUUAAAUAUGAAAAAAAGAAAGAAAGAAAAAAAGUGUAAAAGUUAUACAAAGAAAGAAAGAGAAAAAGAAACAGAGAGUGGGAUUCACCGGUUCGGCCUUCGGCAGGUUCAAUGGUUCAUUGUCAUAUACGGGCGGCAACGGAUGGAACAAUGAUUAACAUACGAACUCUUUUAUAUGUCUUAUAAAAAUUACAUUUUUUUAUAAUAAAUAUAUUUUAAAAUUAAAAUCAAUAUAUACUAAGCUAUCAAAUUAGGUUAUAAAUAGAUCUAUUAAAUAAAUAAAAACUGGUAUAUUUACUUUUAUUUAUUAUACCCUUAACUUCCGUCUUCUCUUCUGUACACUCCGACUUUUCUAAUCUAUAAGUUGAGUAUUUAAUAAAAAGAAGUAUAAUAUUAUGGUAUAAAGUAUAUUAAUAAAAUAUGAAACUUGAUAAUUUGUAUAAAAACAUAGUUUAAUAUCUAUUACAAGAUAUGUUUAAUUUGAUAACUAACAUACUACAACUCUUAAAGUUCGCCGAGCAAAUCCCGAGCUCGAGCGAGCUGAGCUUUAAUCCGAGCGAGCUCGAGCCGAGCUUAAUUAAAGUUUGGUUCGAACUCGAAUUUAAAUCCGAGCUUUAAUUAAAGUUCGGUUUAAACUCGCCUCCAUUCGAGCAAGCUCGAGCCGAGCAAAGGUGGGGAUCCAUGGCCAUGGUUUUGUCUCCUCAUGGCCAUGGGUCGGGGCUUUUGACUCCCAUAACAUCUUUCUUAAAAUCGAAAACACCCCCCAAAUUAACGUUAACAAACGAUAAUAGAUAUUGGGUCUUGGGAGGUGGACGAAAUAUGCACGUCCCUCAGUAGAGAGAAGAGGAGGAGGAAUAGAGAAAGGAGAAGAGAAAGAUUUUUGGGAUACACCACCUAAAACUUCCUUUCAACAUCACCUCAACCACAAACCCGACACUCCUUCGAUUUCUCGUUCUUCUUUUCAGACCACCUCGACUUUAGACUCCAUUCCAAUACGACAGAGAAACAAUCCCAAUACUAUAAAUGGGAUCUUUCUCAACUCAAACCCUAAAGAUCCAACGAUCUUCAACAAAACGGUACUUUUGGAUCUCCUUUCGAUACAUAACACACAAUACACUCGAACCCAAUCUACACUUUGUACAUCUUUAUACUUAUACUGUCCUCAAACUAGAGAACAUAAGGAUUUACUUAACCAAAACUCCAAGAACCCAAUAACCUCGAACAUAAUGAGGUACACAAAAGUACUUUGGACACAUCUGUCUCCCAUACAUCUCGAUUUCGAACUUUUACGAUAAAACAUCCUAACCUCUAGAUCGAACUUUAACUAGCGUACUUUAGGAUUAACUACCAUUUUGGCUGCGCAACCCUCCGAGCCUAGCUACAAGGCUGUUCGGAUGUGGCUCAAUAACUCCUUUUUGGAGUAAAAUCGAAGCAAACAGCGCUCGCUCCCCACACUAGCUAGUAUUUAGUGCCCUCCACCAAAAGAGCGUAGAGCCGUAGUGAAUCUCCACCCACCACGAAAGGCUUCAGUAGCUUACUAGAUAAUACAAAUACAGUGAAAAGAACUCGUAUGUACAUAUACAAAUCAACUAUAAGUACGUAAUAUCCCAACGUUAACAAUACACCAAUUUACACUAUACACAAGAUUAACAUACGAACCAUUCGUUUUUAUGUAUACCUGUCACCUAACUUUUUGUAUUUUGGGAUAUCACCAUACUUAUCCAUACCUGAUAUUUUAUCAAUUGUUCACUAUAACACUUAUCUGUAAGUACGUAAUAUCCCAACUCCAAUCGAACACCGAUUUACACUUGUUCAACCAUAUGUAGGUUACAUCUUUUGUACACCUUACUAUACACAAUCCAGGAUACACAACCGUUCAAAGCACCCAGCUCAGCCUCAGAACUUCUUCAAGCCUAGCCUCAUAACUUCUACCUUCUUAGGUUCUGAAGCUUCUUAACCUUUCCUACGUUUUGUGCUUAGUGCUACGCAUCCAUUAGAAAUUUAGAACAAAUACCACUAAGUAUGAAUUAAUAUCUAGAAUCUUAGUACAAAAGUUCAACAUUAAUUAAUCUUUCAAAGAUUCUCAAACAUUUUAGGUUUUAUUACGUAAAAGUCGCUUUUAACGUAACGACAUGGCCAUGUUCCGAAAAGACAGGUCCCAUGUCGGUAGUUGCAAGCGCGUCUUCAAACUACCAACAAGGCCAUGUUCGAGUACGACAUGGCCAUGUUCGGGACAAGGCCUUGUUCGUUGUCGGACAGGUCCCAUGUCGUCGAAGCGUCUUUUUAGAAGGCAGACCACAUGGGACCUGUUGUAAGGAACAAGGCCAUGUUCCACGACAAAAACCUUUCUUUGAAAGAUUAAGCUGAGGUUAACUAAGAUUUCAGAUAUUUAUUCGAUAACCCGAAGAGAUUAACUAAUUCGUAGUGCUUUUAUGUAUAAACUCUUUGGGAUCUCCGAGCCUAAAGUAGAAUUUGGAUAAAAGGUGUUUUUCGGAGAAAAUCUAGUUUAGCUCUAUAGCAAAGCGUAAGAGUUAUACAGCUAAACUAGAGGCGAAACGAACCUCAAGAUAAGGGACCAAAAGAUGUUAUGAGGUUUCGCUUCCUAGUGGUAUAAGUACUAUAAGAAGUACCACCGCAGCACCUAAGCCGCAUAAACUGCCGCCAAGCACCUAAGCCUAGCAACCGAGCACCUAAGCUCACCGCAGCACCUAAGCCGCACUAACUUCGAAGCACCUAAGCUUCACCUCCGCAAGCACCUAAGCUUGCACUCCCGCACCUGUUGGGCUUCCCAUCGCGCUUCUAAGUAUCCUCCAAUUCUCUCCAUCUCAGGCACCUCAGCCAUUAGUGGAACAUUAGAAAAGAGAAUCACUUAAUAAAAAAGCGCACAAGCGGGGCACCCAAAAAGAGGUUCAACCUCAAAAGGGUGCAUUUAGAGCCACACUNUUGUUCUUCACAUCUCGAUCAUAUCUUCCCCUUUGUUUUUGAACUCAUCAUCCUCUGCUUAGUUCAUUGCCUGUUGUCAUCCAUGCAUCCUCUGCUGUUCUACGUUCUCCCCCUUUUUGUCAAAAAUUGCCAAAAGAAAGCAAAUAGAGAGAGAAAACAUAAUAGAAAGCAUAAAAGAAGUCUAGUCAUAGGUACAAGCCUAAAAUAAAAACAUGCCAAAGAAAGAUAAGCAAACAAGUCUAGUCAUCGUCCUAAAAGUAAGCAGAAUAAAGUAACAAAAUGAAGCCUGAAGAAGACAUCACUCCGUGUCCUCGUCAUCGUCAUCAUCAUCAUCAUCAUCUCCUGCUCCAACUCCAGAUCCCCCAGCCUCAGGAGCAUCACCAGACGGUGGAAUGAGUGGAUGUCGUGAAGUCGAUCUGGUAUAAAUAGUGUAGGUAGGCUCAGUAGGAAAGAUGUCAUCAUGCCUACAUCCCAUUUUCUCAAUCAUUCUCUUCAUCCCCAUCUCCACCUUUCUUGCAAGAUCGGCCAGUUUCUUCUUCAUAGAGCGCACCUCAUGAUGAAGUGAUUCCACAGUAAUCACUCCCCCUGAACUAGAAGAUCCCUCGCGUGCUGCUCUAGGUGAAGGAGCUGAACUAGUAGCUCCUCUGGAAGACCCUUUGGUUUGCUGAAACGUCUUCAAGGUGCUCCUAGACUUUGCCCAAGUCACAGCAUCAAUAGGUCCAAGUCCAAAAUCAUACUUCUCACAGGACACGUCAACACUAUUUUCCUGAAGAAUCCUCAUGAUCAACAAUGGAAAUGGAAGAAGAUCACGGCGAACCUGAGACUGUAUGACAUGAACCAUUCGUUGCCACAUAAGAAAAGGAAUAUUGAUGUUCAAUCCUCUUGCUUCUUCAGGAUGUCCAAGAAGAUACAGAAACACAAGAUGAUCCCACCGAAUUCUUUUCGUUCCAAUUGUCGGUUGAACGUUGUAGCUCAUUACCAAUGAGAGCAAAUGAUAUUCAGGUAGCAAAUUCUUAGAUUCCACAUAUGAGUGAUUAGUCCUAACACCCUCCUUACAUAUAACUCGAAUAACAGUCUCCCAGUGAGUUGCAGACUGAAAAUCCCCUGUAGUAUAGUGAAGACCGGUCGUAUCAACACGCAUACCUAAGAGCUCUCCAAUAGUAUAAGGAGUGACAUGAAUCUUCUUUCUACGCACAUAAGUCUCAAACACAUAAGUCCCAGUCUCCUCAUCCUCUCCAAGUACUACCCCGUUCAUAUAGAACUCUCGAAUUAGCUCUACACAAAAUGGGGCACGAGCUGGAACCCGUCCAACAGGCUCAAUAGGGACCCUCUGCAGCAAUCUGCCAAAAUCUGGUACCUCCUUGACUAGCUCAGUGAAGUUGACAUAGCGCUCAGCUAGAACUGAUCGGCUCGAAUAAAUCUGCUGUCGCUCUAAUGAAGCCUCUGCAGCACGUUUGGAGCGCCUUUCACGUGCACGAGAAUCACCUCCUCGUGAGGAUUCGCCUGCUAGGCCUUUUCCUUUAGCCGCUCGAGUAGCAGCUUCUUCAGCAGCUUCAGGUGAGCUGACCUGAUAAUCAGGAUCUGAUCCAGAUGCCUCACCGGCAGUACGAGUUCUCUUUGACUGACCACGUCGUCCUCGACCACCACCACGACGACGACCGGCAGCCAUAAGCACCAGAAGCAGGAUCACAAGCGAAAACGCCAUUUUCCUACAUGAAAAUGAGCCAUUCAUGAAGAAAAUUUUGAAAAAAAUCUGUAAAAAUAGCAGAAAAAUUUCUAAUAACAUUAGAAUGCAUACAAAUGCUAUUUCUAACAAGAUCAUAUAACAAAUUUAUCAAAGAAUGACAUUUUAAAAAGAAAUCCCGAAAUUAUAUGAAAAAUGAAGCUUAGAACAUGGAUCAGUGAAAAAUAACGUGAUUUGAUGUGAUUCAAGUGUUCUAGAAGCAAGAUAAUGUCCUUAAGCACUGAUCUACAGUAAAAAAAUUGCAUAAAAAACGAUCAAAAACAUAGAUCUAUGCAUGAACACGAAAUUUUUUGAAAAAUAAACAUGAAAACGAUGAAACGAUUAAAUCCAAAUGAAAUACUCACAGAUUUUUGGGGAAAAACGUGUAGAUCUGGAAGAGGAGAGCACCAGGGAAUUUUAGAAAGAGAAAGAACGAAAUUUGGUUUGGAGUAGAGUGAGAAAGAAAUCUCUGUAACCGGUUAUAUUUCCGCGGCUACAGUGAUUUGUACCGGUACACGGGAUUUUGUACCGGUACACUUUGCCAGAUAAUAUACUAUAAAAUUUCAAAAUCCAUCAAAAACAUCAAAAUUUCAUUAUAAAAAAUGAUUUAAUAAUUCCAAAACAUCAAGAUGUAAGUUGAUGAAAAAUAAUUUAUAGAAAUUCAAUAAAAUUGACACCAAUUUGUCGUAACAUGUUCAAAAUAGAGAUUUAACCAAUAUGAUACUAGGGGUGGCUCUUUGAGCAUCUUUUUCAAACUAGCACCUUAUUACUCCGAAAAUUCUAAAAUAUUUAUUUUUUUCAACCUUUUUCUGCUUUUUCAAUUAAAUUCCAUGUGGUAGCUUCACACACUUGCCGGACGACCGGGGUGGUAGCUCUUUCCUACAUGUGGUGGUAGUUUUCACACUCCUUUUAGGAUGUAACUCUUUCCACAUCUUUUAAACACAGGAGUUUCUUUUUCUCUUUUUUUUUAAAAAAUUUCAAACUCCCCCUAAAAUAGGCAAUCUCACAAUUGAAAAUAUUUUGACAAAUUUUAGUCUAUUAGAGAAUAUCCAUCCAUCAUCUCCAACACACACAACCAAAAUGAAUUAAUCACCAAUAAAUCAAAUUUGAUUUCAAAAUUUUGAUGAAUUUAUGCAUUAAGAAAUCAUAUAUUAAUUUAUCGUCAAAAUAAUAAAAAGUGGAGUAAAAACGAUAAUUAAUAUGAAUUUAACUUAAUUAUCACUGUGAAGUUAAACCCGUUUUAGAAAAAUCUCUCUCUCCAAAAUCAUAGAUCUCAAUCAUCUCUUUUCUCGAAAAUUUUGAAUUCCUAAACAUAUUUUCCUCAAAAUGAUUUUUAAAUAAACAAAAAUUCAAUGCACCAAAAAUCAUUCAAACAUAUAAUGCAAUGAAUAAAAUUAAACAACAAGCACCAAUCAAAGCAUUACACUAAAGAUAAAAAAUGACUAAGACGAGGAGCAAGGAAAGAUAUCACCUUUCCGGAUCCAAACUUGUCGGAUCGUUGGUUUCCUCGACUUGUCGACGUUAGGUGCCGUUUGUUUAGAGUUUUGAUCAACCAAUGGUGGUUUCUUCGGUUGAGGCUUUGGUUGAAUUUGUCGUUGAGGCUUAUGCACCCGGUUUGCAUGAACUUGGCGUUGUGCAUUAGAAAUCCGGUUCAUUUGAGGUACUCGACUAACUUGAUUUUUCUUUUGAUUCCGCCGGGGAAGUCGAGUUGUAGAUGAUGUCGUUUGAGGUUUAGAUAUUGCCGAUUGAUUCUUCUUUUCCUUAUUUGGGCAAUUCCUUUUAAUGUGUCCUUUAAUGCCACAUUUAUGACACACUUUCUCUUUCGAAGUUGUUGAGACUUUAGAAGUUGAUAUUGAAUCCUUCUCAACGUAUGUCCGUUCAUAUCCAAGGCCUAAUUUGCUUGUUUGACCCAAUCCAAACAUUUUGCCCAAUUUCUUAGAUCCCGAAGAGAAUUGUUGAAGAUCGGAUUGGAGUUGACGAACUUGAUCGGUCAAUAAUUUGUUGGAUGUAUGCGAUUCCUCAUAUUGAUGCUCCAAAAAUCCAACUUUAUCUUUAUAAGAAUUAAUCGUUGAUUCCGCUUCAUCAAGCUUCUCUUGAAGGUCCGAAUUAUUCUUCAAAUUUGAUUCCCUUUCCUCCUCGAGAGCUUUCUUCAUUGUCUUCAACUUGUUGUUUUCCUCUUCAAUUUCCAAUAAACGCCUUCUCAGCUUCUUAUUAUGCUUGGCCAUCUUUUUCGAAUCAAUAAGAAGUUGAUUGUAUGCUUCUGCCAAAUCCUCGUCGUUCGACUCCUCCUCGCUUUCGCCAUUGUCGCUCGAAGACCCCGACAAGGUGGAAUUAGAAAUAAUAGAAGAUAAGCAAACAACAUUAGACGAAGGCAAAGAAGUGUUAGUAAACAAAGCAAGAUUCUCGUCCUUUUCUUUAUCAGCCAUUAGAUAGCAAUUUAUCUAGAUCCCGCUCUGAUACCAAUUGAAAGUUUUGAGGAGCCCAAGGAUCUAUCUAGAUUGUAUCUAUCACCUAGAGGGGGGUGAAUAGGUGAACGGCCAAAAACCACAAAUCUCGAUGUAAUAAAAAUAAAUGCGGAAAAUAAAAAACACACCGAGAUUUACGUGGGAAAACUCCAACUUGGAGAAAAACCCACGGGACCAACACGCGAAAAAAAUAAUUCACUAAGAGAAAAGAUUACAAGGUGAUUACCGACUCCACGGACUCAACCUCUCUUAACCUCCUAUGAAUCUUCCCGCUACCCUCCGGGUUGUCCAUGCCCUCACGUUCGAGUCCACGAACGCCUCCACUUCGAAUCCACGAAGCUUCAAUCACGCCAAAUCCACGACGCCACUCGAAUCCACGAGCCCACAAUCUGAAUCCACGAACCGCCGUCAAACACGCCGAAUCCACGACGCCGUCAUGAAGAACAUCAUGUGUACGGUGAUCCUUCGCUUAGAGUAUCGAUGAAAACCAGGGAAAGAAACUCCAAGCGAAGCGAAGAUCAAAUCGACAUAUUGAUAUCAAAUUACAAUCCCUCGAUUUGACCUAAAAGAGGCUAAUACGUAGAAAAUAGGUUUUAGAUGAAAUCCAAGCCUCUAGGGUUUCUCAAAUAUGUAUUUUCGUAAUGCUUCAUCUGUUAGAGAACCCCAAUAGCUUAUUUAUAGACUUUAGAAUCAAUUGGAGUCGGAUUAGAAAGAUUUCACGAUUUUACAUUGUGUACCGGUACACUUUAGGCUGUCACCGGUUACACAAUGACGGAACGAAAAACCAGACGAAACAGUGAAACCGGUUACACCCUUGAUGGUCGUACCGGUACACAAUUUGUACCGGUACACUUCUGAUGCUGUACCGGUACACUUUGCAAAUUUUUGCCGUUUCGAGUUUUGCAAAGUUCCGAUGCACUUUCUAAUCCGUUAGACAAUGAUAUUAUGAUUCUAAUGUCUACAACUAAGUACGAAUCACCAUAAUCAUGAAUUAACACUUUACCUGGACAUCGUGAUUCACGGUGUGAGUUAUUUUCCAACUUCUUCGAAAUCUUGAAUUCUUCGAUCUUCGACAACACGCACCGAUUCUUCAAGACUCCGACUCACUUCACGAAACUUGCCAAUACACAAGACUUAACAUAGUCUCGCCUCACCCUCCUCCACCAUGCAUGUGCAUCACCUGCCAAGCAGUGAACUCUUAGGUGUACCUGCUCCCGCUCAGGAAUGAACAGAUCCUCAAAUAGUCUUUUCAUUGCGCUGACCCAGUCCUCGACAACCCAAGCCUCAGUGCAACUGCCAUCGUAGGUCGGCAGAUCGAAACGACGGAAGCGGGCAAGUCUCUCGAUCAUCCGCUCCUGCUCAGCCUCAGUCAGCUGUGGGGCCUCACCAAAAGCUGCAACUGGCGCUGGGGGAACUGCCGUUUGUGGGGGUACUGCUGCUGGUGGGGGUACUGCUGCAGCUGGGGCUGCCACUGGAGUAGUCGAAGGUGGAACUGGCUGCUCUGGUACUGUGCUAUGGGGCGGAGCUAACCUCUCACACAUCCUUUGUAACAACUUCCCCUGCUGCCUCGUCACCUCUGUCAAGGCAGCUAACUGCUCCCUCAAGUCAAGGGGUGCACUCGCCUCUGGUCGCGCACUCGGCUCUGCCUGCUCAGGCAUCUCAGGAGGUACGGCACAAUCCAGCAACGACAGUCGAUCACGACGUCGAUACAUAGCUGCCAAGAAAAGAAAAGAGGGUCAGAUAAAACACAAACAUUCUCGACCCAAUCAAACGAAAGUCCGGAAGGCGGCCCAUGUUUCUCCUCAAAAUUAUGUCGUCUGCAGCCAACAUAAUUUUUCUAGACCGAAACAGACACUGCUUCAAUCACUCACUCCACUCUAGGAGGAGUUAAAACUAAUCAAUCAUUGACUUUCGCGAUAAAUCACGCCUCUCGCGUCUUGCCCUCCUAAGGUUUGCCAAACUUAGGGUUCCUAGGUCCCAGCAACUUAAUACUAAGCUCUGAUACCAACUUAAUCUAUCACGCCCUGGAUUACUCGUUUCUCCGGACGCGCUGACAAAUCCGCCGUAUAUAAAGGAAUUUUUUUCUGUAUACGAAGCGACAGCUGUACCUGUAAUCAAACAAUACUACAAUCAGUAGUAUAGAGCUGCUAGAAAAAAUGAUAUAUAUAUAUAUAUAUAUAUAUAUAUAUAAACAGAAGUUCACUAUACAUACAAGCAUUCAGGUGUAUAAAACACUCGCUCCAGCGAGAUACAACAUAGUAUGCAUAUGAACUCAAAAACUACCACUACCUGUAGCUAGUAUACUCUAGCUCAGCAACAACUCGGAAGGGAUCUAACUCGCGACUCCCUUUCCACGGUCCGAAUCAGCAGCAGCAGUAACCGAAGAAGAAGGCUCUACAAAAGGUUCCAACAACUGGGCGUGAGAACUACUACAAAAAGAAGUAGUCCUUAGUGGGUACCGCUACCGACCUCAACGGCUCACCUACUAAGUCUACAGAUGUAAACAAGUAUAGCAAGAAAGCUGGAAUAAAUCUACAGCUAUAUGCACCUAUACUAACUCGGUCGAACACCAACAAUCUGUAGGAAAGAGUAAAACCUGAUCCAAUCUCACUAGGGACUGUGAACACAUCUGUCCCGCCUGUCGAAGCUAUACAAUCGACACCAAACCAGGUCGUCAGUGGAGAGCAAGUCCAACCAGGACCAAACGACACCAACGCAAAAGCACAAAGCCUAACUCUGGAGUGGCACUCGUGGACGCUACCCAACCGAGUAUGCAAGUGUGUCUCUGUCGAGCUCAAUCAGGCUCAAAUAGGCUAUAGUCAAGUAAACAGGGUCUAACAACUAAACUCACGUGCCCUCGGCACAAUAUGAUGCAAAAACAGCAAUCUGGGUCCACCGUCAACCUCAACGGCACCCGACAAUUCGGAACAGCCUAAUCACUGUUGUAAAAAUACACUUGGCACCUCAGCACGAGCGUAAUUAUGUUCUACACUAUUCUGGACAUACACCGCUCACAAACUGCGAUGAUACAAAUAAACUACGGCUUCUAAAGCUAAAUCUGGUAGUUUGAUCAAAUGGCGAUGUAGAAACGUCAGUUUUCUCCUAAGUCAAAUCCAAGUCCAACAUGCAUAAUUUAGCUAAUUUUUCUAAGCUCCAAUUCAAGUUCAAAAACAUGCCAUUCCAAGAAUCGAGCUAAACAAUAGACUAAACAAAGCUAAAAAUACAUGUUGUCGACAUAUAUAGAAUUAGGAGGAAACCCGUAGAAUCCGGUAAGCAUCACUUUAACCUACCUUGAAAGCGCGUCCAACAAUGGCGAGAAGUCGACAGAAGCGGAAUCACACGCUCGUCCGGCCUCCCCGCGGCGCUAUCAUGACGAACGCACGCUUGAACGGCACCGCGGCACGACGUCGGCGACAAUCCGACUCCACCCGAGCUCCUCCUCUUGCUCACGGCCACGGACUAGAGAGAGAGGGAGAAAAUAGCAAGAAGAUCUCCUCUCUGCCUCUCUCUAUCCUAUAUAGGAGGGAAAGGAUAAGGGUGAAAAGAACGAGGUGAGAAAAGACCAAGAGGCCCCUUACCUACCGUGGUGUCUCAGUACAACAUCAAUGUUGUACCAGUACUACGCAACAGAAUUGCCAACCCGAGAGCAGUCUGUGUAGAAAAACGCACUGAGUACCGGUACACCCCUGCGUGGUACAGAAAAACGCACUGGGUACCGGUACACCCCUGCGUGGUACCGAUACCAAUUGCUGAAAAUCUGCGAUUUGCAGAUUGCAAUGCUAACCCACUGCUCUCGCGUCCCGCUGAGUCCAGUUUGCUUUUAUUUCGCACCAACAGGACUCGGACUUAUCCCGACACUCUCCAGAAUUGUCGACAGGUCUCAACUGCUGAAUUCCAGGGUUACUACAAAAACUCAUUGUAAAAUAAACAAAAAGGUGAAAGAAAAUCAUUUUAUCCUCCUAUGAUAUAUGUUAAUAUUUCUGUAUUUUUUAAGGAUGAAAAUAGUAGAACACAAUCAGAUAUUUGACGAAACUAUAUUCACAUUUAUAUUUUUUUAUCGAAUGUAAAUUUGGAUAUGAAUAUGUACUAAAUGUUGUAUUUGUAUUCGCAUGCUAUCGAACAUCGUGUUGGAUGGCUUUGAUGUGAGUUUACCCUACCCACCUUCACGAAAAAUUAUAGAAUGCAACGGGUAUAUUGGUGUCGUGGCGUAAUAAACCAAUCAAAUAUCUUCUUUUAGGAGUAUAUGUCCCAUCAUGAUUAUAAAAAAAAUAUUUUUAUUGUACUUUUGUUUGAAAAGAAGAAAUAUAAUUGGUUUGUUAUUGAUGACGUGGUGCAAGUGUGACAGUGUAGAAUUCCUCCACCUUUACCCCUAUCUCCUUGCCAGGAAUGUACCGGGACUAGGUUACAAAACGGGAUAGUGGAGGGACUAAUUCAUAAAUUUUAGAGCCAGGAGUGACAAAGGGAGAAUGUACAGGGACCAAGUCGCAAAACGGGAUGGUGGAGGGACUAUCCAUAAAUUUUAGUCAGGGAGUCGAACGAACGCAAUCUCUUUCUCUUCCUCUCUCUCCCUAUCCCUCUUCUCUCUCUCUCUCUCCAGCAUCUAAGUGAGGAGAACGGAGAACCCUAGCGAUUUCACUAAAGAAACAGGUCCCUUCUCUCUCUCUCUCUACGGAUCGAUCUUUUGCUUUUGAUUGCACUGAGAUUAGGGUUUUAAUCGUGCUCGAUCUUGGGCUUAUUGCGUUGAUCGAUCCCUUCUUGAUGCUUUUAGUUGUUGUUGUUUUUUUUUUUUUAAAUAAAAAUUGGAUUGCUGUGAUAAAUUCCUAAUAGUUGAUGAUAUUGUAAUCAUUAGAGAUUGUUUUAAUUUAAUAUUUGAUUUAUUGAAUUGAAGGAAGUAUAUGAAGUUGGGAAACUCAAGCGAUAGGAUUUAAGUCGACAUAUGUUCUGUAACUUAGUUUUAGAUUCUAAUAUUUAAUUUACAAUUUCUAUAAGAAAAUUUGUCUUGUUUUGUUUUGUUUUGUUUUUUUUUUUGGGGGGUGGGGGGUAUUAUAAAUCAUCCAAUNGGGGGGGGGUAUUAUAAUCAUCCCAUCUAAAAUUUUCUAUUGAAUGCUUGUUCUUAUCAAAUUAGUAUCAAAUGAAACUUGAUCAUAUUAUGUGUCACUUGGUUUAAGUGUGAUGCCCCAACUUCCCACAAGGUCAUCCAUCCUAGGACUACUCCCGUCCUAGUACGCGUAACUUUCUUAAUCUCUUGGGCUUAGCCACCGCCCAAAAUACUUUAGCCGGGUUAAAAAUUUUAGUCCUAUUAUAUCUUAUAUAUAGGACUAUCUGGGAUCUCACAUUUCCUCCCAUCCUAAGCCCUGACGUCCUCGUCAAGUUCGUACUCACUAGUACCAGGCGAUGUGAGACUCAUUUUGCUGGUCUAAACCGACUUUGUGGUGAGCUGCGCUCUACCCACAACAAUCAACAGCAUGAGAGCCUCGCUCUCCUCACUGUAUAAUCCUGGCUCAGCCGAGACUCAUCUUACACUUUCGGCUGGUAAAUGGCUCUGAUACCAACUGUGACGCUCCAACUUUUCAGGGCGUCACCCAUUCUAGAACUACUCCCAUCCUAGCACGCUUAACUCUCUUAAUCUCUUGGGCCUAGCCACCGUCCAAAAUGCCUAAGUCGGGUUAAGAGUUUUAGCCCUAUUAUGUCUUAUAUAUAGAAUUAUCCGGGAUCUCACAUUAAGUUCCAACAUUCAAUUUCUCAACAUAAGAAUUUUUUUAUUAUUAUUAUUAUUGUUAUUGUUAAUCGGUCGCUCUUAUAUUAACUAUUGCAUGAUUGUUUUAUCAACUUAUACUCUCUGCAAUAAAAACGCAAUAGGUCGCAAUGAGUGGCACAGAUACUUUCAGAAUAAAAAUGUAAAGGUUUAGGUGCUGGUAUACUGUUCUAAAGUUUGAAAAUAACUUAUAAAUCCUAAUUUGCAUACCCUUCUAAACUUUUAAUACCUCACAAAAUUAUUUUUUUUAAUAAACUUUUCAUCAAUCUCCGUUAAAUUUUCUUUCUUUUCCCUUUCUUCACCUAGCUAGUAAAUCACUUCAUAUCUCUUUCAUAGCCUUAACGUUCGAUGUAUGCCACAACUUUUUUAAUAGCGAAGAAGUUAAAUGCCUGCGAAAAAUUCUCUUCUCAAUGAGGAAUUAUUUGGAAUUGAAUGGAAAGCAGAGAUGUAACUUGGUAGGAGAUUCUCUUCUUGACUAUUUUAUUUUAUAUUAUUUUAUUUUUUUUCCGGUCGGUCAGAUUGGAAGCUAAAGAAAAGUUAACAAAAAUUGAUGAAAACUUAACUAGAACGGUAUUUUUGUAAGGUAUCAGAAGUUUGGAGGGAUGUAUAAGUUAAUUUAAAAUUGGGAGGGAUAUAUAAGUUACUUUUAGACUUUAGAAUAUAUCGGUUUUUAACCUAUAUGAAAAGAGCUAGAUAAAUUUGGAAAGAAAAGGAGAGAUCUGUUCCUAUCGAUCUAAGAGAUGAGAAGGUGAUGAGAACAAGAGAAGAAGGUGUAGAUCACACAUUUCAAAGAGUGAGGUGUCUUCCCGAUUUGCCUAGAAAACCUCCCAGCUUUUGCAUCUUUGAUGAUGGCAGAUUUUAGGUGUAGAGUACUUAAAUGAUAAUAGAGGCAUUCUGCUUGAAACCGUGGUGAACCGGGCACUGAAAAUAUCUACCGUUGCUGCUAAGUAUGCUUCAAUGAGAGAGAGAAAAUAAGGUUCUAGUUUAAGUUUGUAACAGCAUCCUCACUGGGUAUCUAAGACUGCCCUAAACUUUGAUGAGGGUCCUAGCAGUUGUAUUGCCGUUAAACUGAAAAUAUAGGGAACAUCUUGACUUUCUUUUCCUCCUUUGAAAUGUGGCUUUGUCUUAAAGACCUCCUACAGAUUGAACUAUUGGUGAAGACUCAUACGAUGCUAUUCUCUGAGAUGUUUUCAGAUUACUUAAUAACAAAUAUUUAUAUUGUUCUUUGAGAUUUAGCCUUUUUUCCAUAUCAAGUACUUUUUGAGAUGUAGUCGUAACUCUAGCUUACACGAUCAGAAGUCCUUUCAGUUGUUUUUGUAAGAUGUUUGAUAUACUUGUUGCAAGCAAUUCAUUUUUUCUUUUCAAUUAUCGCUGUUCGUGAAGUAUGGAUGUUUAUCUAUGAUUAUAACCAAUAUAUUUACAUAGACAAUUCAAGAUUCUUCUUCUUUCUUCUGUUACUCCCAAAGAGUAGUAUUAACAUCACUCAUGAAAAGUAGGUAAUCUUAUUUGUUGUUCGUUUCUUCUCAUCAUGAAGACUGAAAUCCUCUUAAAUUAGAUUACUUGUGUCAUUGCUUGAGCAGCCAAAUGUAAUUAUCUAGUAAAUAUAAUGUAGCUAACUUGCUAUCAUGUGUGGUUCUGAAUUAGUAUAAUUUGGCAGAUUAAUAUCACUUAAAGCAUGAAUCUAGUUUUUAUUUCGUGGGAAUGUAUACUGAACAUGUAAUGCAAGUCAUAACCAAGAAAUUACUAACCAAUCAAGUUGUUGGUGAUGGAGACAUUAUCAAUCUCCUCUUGUGACCUAAAAGGAACAUAUAUUAAUAGAAUAUGCUCACUCAUUAAUUAAACACGGAUAUCAUUUUUUUGCUUGUUCAAUCAUUUCUGAAUUGGUUGUCGUUGAGCCUCUCUACCAUGAAAGCCUAUUCUUUUGUUGGACAUGAAACUAGGCAAGCAAAUAGAGGUGUCACAGUUUGAUCAGGAAUCAAUUUGUCGUACUCUUACACUAUUCUUUAUGUAUAGCGUAACAUAUUUAGAAUAACUAUAUAUAAUUUGCAUUUUUAUUUAGUACUAGGUUUCUAAUUCUCUAGGUACAAAGUUAUAUGACAUUAUCUUUGUUGUUGAUAAUUGCUCACUAUUUAUUGGUAAACAUGUAAGAGACACCUCAAGUGUAAGCUAUUUUGAAACAUAACACCCCAGCUUUGUGGUUCUUUUUUAAAUCGAUCUCAACUUAUUGCUCCAUUGGAUUUUAAUUGUCUCGCUAAGUUGCAUGGGGGAUUCAAUGAAAUUUGAUGGUGGUAUCUUCAAGUUCGUCGGCUCUUACCGCUUUUCAGAAAAGAGCAUUGCAGGUUCUGUUAACAGUUAACAGCAGAUAGCAAGCAGACUCCCAAUUCAGCUGAGCAAAAUAACCCAAAUCAAAACAAGCGCAAGGUGAGGGGGUUGUUAAUCUAUUUUGCAAUAACAUAUAAUUGAGGGUCUCUCUGUACAUGUUUAACUUAGAUAUAUCAUUGGUUGCAAUACCUAAUAACGCUUACGAUCUUGAUUAAUUCCAUACUUGAAUUGUGCUGCUAGGGGUUAUUUUUCUGGGAAACUUUUGCGUCUUUUGGGGGUUAUAACAAUUAGCAACUAAUAUCUAAUUCAUGUAAACAUUUCAGCUGCUAUCUGGUGCAAUACAUAGAAUCCCUCAAACUACAAUGAGUCUAGCAUGUCUAGUGUGCCAUGGCAUGGAGAGCCCUUCACAUUCUUUCAGAAGCCAUUCGGUCUCAAGCUCAGAUGCCGAGGGACGGUGUGCCGCAGCCCUCAGCUGCUUCGCUCAGAAGAUCGCCAUCUCUGGUAACAAUAACGGGGCGGCCAAGGUGGCCCCGUUCCCCGUUAUAGGGAAUGGUCAAGGAGUGACUGGGGCACCUCGCCUUCAACGGAGCCGCGCCGUGUCGCGGGACCUUGUUCGGGACUGGAAUUUCGAUGAAGUUCUCGUGGGGAGGUAGAAAGUUUUUUUUUCUAAUUAUAAGUUAUUCUUUUUAUUCCACUUCCAACUCCAUGCUGUAAGUAUAUAUAUAUAUAAUUUUUAGUUAGAUUUGUACUUUAACAGAGUAUUGGUAGAUUAACUAAAUUAUGAGGAGAUGACUUUGGAAAUCAAGUCUAUUUAGAGAUUGUACAUAGUUUUGAUUGCUGGAUUUAGCUCUCCGGUUUGUUUCUAUUUCUUUUGAUAAAGUUUUCAUAAACUAGCUAAUUAAGUGAUGCAAUAAAUCAAAUCCAAAUAUAGAUAAGCAGCUUACUUUUGAAUCAUGCAUAUAGUUUAUAUUAGGUCUUUUUAGCCCUGUUGUAGUUUUUACAGAAAUGCUAUUUGAGUAGAGUUGUUCUUAACGCUUGUAGUUCUUUGGCUCUUUGAAAUCCCAAAAUUGAGAAAUUUUUGUCAUUUUUUGUUCAACUAAUUGUUGACGAGAUAGUUUAGAAUUUCGGGAUUUGUCCGAAAUAACUGAUUACUUACUCCAGAAUAAUGGGGAUAGUUUAGAAUAAAUUGUGCAGGUAUGAUUUUGCUUUGAAAAGGAGCAAUGCUACAAAAUAGGCAUAUUGAAGUGAUUUAUUAUUCUGUCUUUUAUUACUGAAAAGUAUAUUAGAAAUGGCAUGACACAUUGAAUGAUUGAAAUGAUUUUAUAUCUCUUUCCAAAAAUAAAUCACACCGUAAUUAAUUUAUUUCCAACAGAACUAUUUAUGUUUGAAACCACUAAGACUUAGUUUGGUAUUGAGACUCACCUAACGCUAUUAGAUAAAAUAAAGUUGGGGUAAAAACAUAUAGAGAUAUACUUCUGCGUUCUCCGAUGGGAUCGUAGAAAAUAUAUCGCAACCAACUCAUCGCGAUAUGUGAAAUCUAAUAUUACGUACAGAAACAAACAGGAUAUUUAUCCAACUUACUUUCUCAUAAUAUUACAAACAGGAUAUUUAUCCAACUUAAUUUCUCACCGUAUGUAAUGCAAUCUUUCCAGGAUAUUUAUCCAACUUACUUUCUCACCGUACGUAAUGCAAUCUUUCCACAAUCUCAAACGAAGCCUUAAUACAGUUCAGCUUUAACUCUGAACGGCGAAAUAUAUUAUUUAUUGAUGAUAACAAAGUUACUUUCCCCCAAAAGCACAAACCAUAUCAUGCUUUGUUUUAAGUACAACUUCACGGCACAACAAGAAAUUUCGAAACCGAAAGAAAUCAAUGCGAAGAUCCCCCAAUCUAAAUGUUAAAAUUUAGACACAAAUGAUCAAAUUUCGACAACUGCAAAGCCAAAUUUAUGAACGAUUUAAACAGAAACAGGGGAUUCGAGCAAAACCAUGGCUUCUUUGAUCUUCUCCACUGCAGCUUGUAGUGUAGAGAGAGAAGCAGCAUAGGAGAUCCUUACGCACUUGUCGUCCCCGAAUGCAUCUCCCGGAACGAGCGCGACCUGUUCACGACAUUGUUAUGCUUUUUUUUUUUUUUCAUUUUUCUUCGGUGUAUUACGUACUCGGAACUAUGUCUAUAGUUUUACCUGGGCCUUGUCUAGAAGGAACCGGCAAAGGGAUUCGGAGUCUUUGACGAUGCCGAAGCCUUCGACUUCCGAACCGUAGUAGGAGCUAAAAUCCACAAACAGAUAGAAGGCACCCUGCAGUUACCGAAAGUUCGUGAAUUGAUUGUCAAGUUUCCAUAAAAUCAUACAAUAGUGCGAGCAUUUUGAGCCCCAAAUGUGUAAGUGCAAGUUUUGAUCUUCUUAUUGCAUCCAGCUAUUGUUCGAAACUAGAGAUGCAAACAGGGCGGAUCUGGGGGCGGGAGCCCCGUCCUGCCUCCCACCCCAACUAGCAAAAUUCCGUCUCGAAUCCGUGACGGGUUAAAAAAUAUAUCCUAUAAUCCGCCCCGUCUCGUAACCCGCCUCCCGCCGGCGCCCCGAAUCGGCCCCGCCAACUAAUAUUUUUUUAUAAAAUUAUAAUAUUAUUAGUAUUUUAUAAAUUAUAAAUUAAUAAUUUUUAAUAAUAUUAUAUAUAUAUAAUUUAACAAUAUUAAUUAUAAAAAUAAAAAAUAUCCAUUACAAUUCAAAACAAAAUUCAAAAGUUUCAAAUACAUUAGAAAUGAGAGUACUAAUUUAUUUGUAUUUUGAAUUUUUUUUGUAAAUACAUUAUUUUUUAAGAAUAUUUUUUAAAAGGAAAUAUAAAUGAUUUUCGGGGCGGAUCAUGGCGGGGUGGAUUCAGGGCGGUCAAAAUUUCUCCCGUUUCCUGCCCCGAAUCCGUCUCGGAUCGUAAAAUUUACCCUGUUUCCUGCCCCGAAUCCGUUUAUUUUCUCCCAUUUACUGCCCCCCGUCGAGACGGAUCGGGGCGGGAGCUCCACCAACCCGGAUCCGUUUGCAUCCCUAUUCGAAACUAUAGUUUGGGGCGAGGGCUCAACGAAAAAGCUCGCUCAAACAGCACUUCUACAAAGGCUAUACAAUGGUUAAAAGAGCUAUUAAUAUCGUGCGAAAGAUAUGCCCUAAUUUUUACCUGGGGCUCUGAUAUUUUUACACCCGGCAACUCCCGAAAACUUUUAACCAAGAAAUCGCGGCGCUCCUGGAAUGCUUUUACCAUUGUUGCGACCGCUUCUCCACCGGCGAAGCCCAGGUUCAAAGCUGCAAGCCCAGCUUUCUGGGAAAUGCUACAAGCACCUGAUGUGAUCUGAAAAAUACAACUUCAACCAUCAGUUUUAUAAACCUUUGGACUCAGAAGCCUUCAUGUCGUAGUUCGGGGAUUCUAAAACACUACUGGUUACUCUCCCUUCGCUAUUGUCGUAAAUCUAUUAUCUCGUCUCUGUCGCAGUCGAUUUGUGAUUUCACAGUUGUGUUUGUGAUAUGUAUAUGACUGACAGACAUUGAAUGGCGAGAGCAGCAAGAGGAAAUGUAAAACACGAAACACGUAUCUGCUUCGUAAACGGAAAGAAAUGUCUCGACAUAGUAGUACCUGGCUUUGAAUCUUCGCGCAAGCUGCUAAGAACUGAUUAGGGCAAGCGAGGUAUCCGAGUCGCCAACCAGUCAUCGCAAAAGCCUAGAAACCAUUAUACCAUAUGUAAAUAUUGUUUUUGCAUUUGUGCACAGCAGUUUUAGAAAUUGAAAUACGCAGUGCCUCAUGUCGCAUCCGAUUUCGAGGUAGUUUCUUUUUUUGAGGUAACAAAGUUCAUAAAAGAGAAGUAAGAUAAUGACAUAAUGAAAGUACCUUGGAAAAUCCAUUGACAGUGAAUGUUCUCUCCCACAUUCCAGGCAAUGAAGCAAAGCUUGUGUGUUUUGCUGGUGGGUAGAUGAUAUGCUCAUACAUCUCAUCACACAAUACCUGGAAAGCAAAGUAGCAGAAACUAAUAUACUGUAUGUUCUAUGUAAUGCAAUUGUCAUAUAACUUCUCAUCUAUUGCUUGUCGAUUUGGCCUAGCUUCUGGAGCAGCUUGACUGCUGCAGAAAGAAUAUGGCAAAUCAAAUGCUCCGCAGUAUAUGCUACGGCAGAAGCUAAAAUAAGCUUUCGCACACCUCAGCAAAAGCUCCAAUUCAAACUUUUGCUUCUUCUACAUCAAGAAGCUGUAGGGGAAACUCUAGCCAAAAAGGCUCCUAGACAACAUACCAAAAGCCUUGGAUGCUUCCUGACUAUAUCAGCAAUCUCUUCCAGAAGCUCUUUCGGGUAAACCGACCCGGUCGGAUUUGAAGGCGAACAGAGUAUCAGAACCCGUGACUUCUCAUUUAGUUUUGCAGCAAGGGACUCCGGCCUUAAAAGGAAGUUAUCCGAUAUGUCUGUCGGAAGGAUCACCGGCGUUGCGUCAGCCAACCUAGCCAUCUCAGGAUAGCUGACCCAGUAUGGUGCUGGAACAAGAACCUGAAUAAGAGGAGAAGCAAUAUUUAAAAGCCAAUAAUUGCUUCUGUAAGAAGCCAAAAGCAAUCCACAAAUUACAAAUCCAUUUUCGGAAUCGAUUUAACAUUUGUUAGAGUACAAAUUAUUGCAAAGAAGUACAAGUAUAAAUGAGACACUAACAUGAGCUAAAAGUGCAAUUUACACUUCACCUCAUCGCCGGGCGAGCAAACGGCGAGCACAGCUUGCAUGCAGCUCUGCUUGGCGCCAUUGCUGACCAGAAUCUGAUCCGGAGUGUAAGACAAACCAUUCUCCUCUAGUAAUUACAAGGGAGAAGAAAUUUUGCAGUUAACCCCCUAGGAUUAUAACAAAUUAGUCAGGGUUACUGGCAAAAAGAGUUUUCUCACCUCGAAGCUUAUGACAAAUAGCUUUUCGCAGCUCCAAAGUCCCAGCAUUGGGAGUGUACCUUGUGUAACCUUGCCUAAUCGCGCUUAUCCCGGCCUAGAAACAAAGCCAAAAAUCAAAAUCAAGGGCAAAACUUUGGUGUGAAUUGAUGAUAGUUCAUGUACUUAAGUGAAACAAGUGCUUCAGUUAGGGGCCUGAUUGCAAGAAAAUAUAGGCUGGGGACCAUAAUGAAAAAUCGAGUAAAUGUCGGGUAUUAUCAAUGCAAUUAAACACUUUUAAAAAUGAGAAAUGCUAACAAAAGUAACAGUGCAUUAGAGACCCCUCCAUUUUAGGCCAUUUUGGAAUAAACUCUGCAAUUUUAAAUUCUAGUUCUUUAUUUUUUAAUUAGAUUAAAAAUUUAUUAAAAUUAAUAAUCCUAUUACUUAUCAUUCAAUAAUAGUUAAUAAAAAUCUACAACCAAAUUAAUUGAAAGAGCAUUGAGAAUAUUUAAAUUUAGCAUAAUCGACCAUAUGAUUUACUAAAAUUCUCAAUCAAAAGCUGAGAAAGCCAAUCGAAAGAUAAAUAGUUGAGGGGUCUACUUCAACACUUCCUAUAGUUGAGGGGGCCUCUAUACUUUUCACCUUCUAAAAAUUGUAGGAAAUUUUAACGUUCAAGGGCCAACUCGUAAAGUUCCAAAAAAAAAAAAAAAUGCACACACUGCAUACAUUUCAAAGAUAUCCUUUUCCUAAUUUUCUUUUUUUCUCCAACCCAGAUCAAAAUCACAACAAAUAUUAUCAAAGAACCCCAAAGGUAUUAAUUGGUAUUAAUUGCAUAUGUAUCCCUACAAAGGUAAGAUAUUGCAUACUCAUGACAAUAAAAUUUAGUUAUCAAAUAUAUUUUCCCAAAUAGAACGGUAUGCAACAGUCAAUCAUACAAAAGGACUAUUCUACCUUUCAAUAAAUAUUUUUAAAUUAUACUUUAAAAACAUUUAUUGAUUACAGCACUAAUAAAAAUUAUAUUUCAGAAUACAUUAUUAAUAGUACUGCACAGAAGAUACCGAGGCUAUGAAAGUCUCCUGAUAAACUCAUUUUGAGAGAGAGAGAUAUAUUUGAUACUUGGGAACUUUGUAGAGAUGCAUAUGAAGUUAUUUAUAGAGUUUUCCUCACCUCGGCGAUGGCGGCCGGGGUGUCGAAGUCGGGCUCGCCGGCGGCGAGGCGGAUGACGGGGACGCCGGCCUGGACGAGGGCCGUCGCGUGGUCGGUGAUCGCCAUCGUCUUCGACGGCUUCACCGCCGUCACCCUCUGCUGCGGCUACACGAAUGAGAGCGAUCUCGCGGGGAGGGCGGCGGCGGCGGCGGUCUCCAUCGCAGAAGUUUUAUGAGCAGAAGAAGAAGAAGAAGAAUUCGCCCUAAUUGAUAUUGGAUAGCAUGAUCUCUUUUUCCUUCCCAAAGAUCUAUACAAAAGAAAAAAAAAAGAAAAGAAAUUAUUAAUAAUAAGAUGAGAUUCAAAAUGGGCGAUUACUAGGUGGGAUCUCGAUCUCUAGUGUUGAGGAGGGAGAAGAAGAGAGGGGCAUAUAUAUAUAUAUAUAUACCUAUUUCUUGGCCCAAUUAGUGUUUAAAAAUAAGGGUAAACUUCAAAUACACCCCUUGUGCUUUCAUACGUUUUCACUUUAGUAUCAUGUGGUUUAAAAUGUAUUAAGUCAGCCCCUGUAGUUUCGCACUUUCUCACUUUAGUACCCUGUGAUUUAAAGUGUAUCAAGUUAGUGCCCUGUGAUUUUAUUUUUCUCUUUUUAUUAUCCAUUUCACUAAUUUUUUUCAUUAAACUAGUGGCAACGUUAAAAUUAAAGGGUACUAAACUGAAUAUUCGAUAAACUCAUCUGAAGUUUUUUUGUUUAUAAUUUAACGAAAUAUUAACGGAGGGAAAAAAAAAUCAGUGACAAAGUUAAAAUUAAAGGGUACUAAAGUAAAUAUUCGAUAAACCUAGGUAAGAUAUUUGAAGUCUUUUAUAUAUAAUUUAACAAAAUAUUAAUAGAGGAGCCGACGAAAAGAGAAAAAUGAAAUCACAGGGUACUAAAUUGAUGCACUUUAAACCACAUGGUACUAAAGUGAGAAAGUACGAAACCACAGGAUAUUAAAUUGAUACAUAUUAAAUCAUAGAUUACUAAAGUGCAAAAGUGCGAAAUCACAGAAGUAGUAUUUAAAGUUUUCCCUAAACAUAAUAAUAAUAAUAAUAAUAAUAUUGAUAUUAUGUUAAUAGUAUUUACUAUUAAUUUUUUUAUCAUUAGAUAUCUAAAAUUUAGUAAGAAUUAAUAAAAUAGUAAUAAUUUAAAAAUAAAAAAUUAACAUUAAAUAUUAUUCAUAUACUAUCAAUAGUAUUCUAGCUUAACACUCUCUCUCUCUAUAUAUAAAGAGUUCAGUUAUGAUACUAUUAAAUAGUAUAUAGUAUUAACUUUUUUAUCCUUUGAUUAUUACUAUUACACUAACCACUCGCUCAACACUAAACAUUUACUAAUCACAAAAUAGAUAUAUCAUACUAUUUAGUAAUAUUCCUGCAACUCCCUUCCACUUUCUCUCUCUCUCUCUAUAUAUAUAUAAAAUAUAGGGUAUUUUAAUUUGGCUACUAAAAUCUUUCAAAAUUUUAAUUUUAGUAUAUAAUUUUUUAAAUUUAUUCAAUACAAGUUAUUUAAUAUUUCUUUCGAUAUUAGAAAUUUGAGCUAAUGUUUAUUUUAAUAAAUUUAUAAUCAUAUGACUGUAUAAAAUAUAUUAAUUAAACUCGUAAAGAUACUAAUUAUAUUUAAAAUUUAAACUUAAAGUGUCAUUAACCGGCUUAAAUUAAAUAAAUUAAAACUUUUGCAGUAAAAUCAAAAUUAAGUUAGUCAGAUUUUUAGGUAAUAGUUGAAAUAAGUUCAAAACAUUUUUAUCUAAAAAAAAAAUUCUUUACACAGUGGCCCUUUUGACGAUGAUCUCCUGCAUUAAAAAGUGAGUCAAUUAUUUUUUCUGAAUUUUGUCAAUAUUUUAAAUAGCUUAAAAAAUUUAAAUUGAUUAGUAAAUUAAAUUAUAAAAUUUUUACUAUAAUGUGGUAUAUCAUUUUGUUGAACAUCACAAUACCUACGUAAUUUGUAUCUCAAAAAAAAAACGAUAAUUUUUUUUUAUUUUAUUAAAACUAUCAAAAUUGAUUAUUUGUCUAAUAAUUUUAUUCAAUUUAUAUGAAUUUGAUACAUUAAUUACAACUAAUUUUGCCGAUAUAUUUAUUUUCAAAAAGUCUUAGAGCUGAAUUCAACAAUCAUCUAAAAAUUUUGAAUCAAUUUAAAAUGAGGGUUAAUUUCAUACAUAUCCCUGCAAAAGUAUCAAACUACAAAUAUUUCUAGCUAAGUUUAUUUCGAAAUAAAAUAAACGAAGCGGGUAGCGUGCUACCUAUCUCUCUCAAAAAAACAAAUAGCAACUAGCCUCUAAAAGUCCAGCUUGAUGAGACGAUGAAGAANAGGGAAGAGGAGGAGGAGGAGGAGGAGAGGAGAGAGAGAGAGGACUCCAUUGGAGUAGGUGGGAUCUCGAUCUCUAGUGUUGAGGAGGGAGAAGAAGAGGGGCAUAUAUAUAUAUAUAUGCCUAUUUCUUGGCCCAAUAAUUGUUUAAAAAUAAGGGUAAACUUCAAAUACACCCCUUGUGCUUUCAUACGUUUUCACUUUAGUAUCAUGUGGUUUAAAAUUAUUAAGUCAGUCCCUGUAGUUUCGUAUUUUCUCACUUUAGUACCCUGUGAUUUAAAGUGUAUGUCCUGUGGUUUUAUUUUUCUCUUUUUAUUAUCCAUUUCACUAAUUUUUUUAUUAAACUAGUGGCAACGUUAAAAUUAAAGGGUACUAAAGUGAAUAUUCGAUAAACUCAUCUGAAGUUUUUUGUUUAUAAUUUAACGAAAUAUUAACGGAGGGAAAAAAAAAUCAGUGACAAAGUUAAAAUUAAAGGGUACUAAAGUAAAUAUUCGANAAAAACUCUCUCUAUCCAUCGUGCGAUGGUCGAAACAAAUAAAGUAAAUCUUUAUUUGAAUCGACCUUUACACUUAGUUAAUCCUAAACUUAAAAAAAAAAAAAAAAAAAAAAUUCUCUGCAAAACUGUAAGUUAUCAAAUUUAUCCUUUUAAAAGUUCUCUGAUUUGCAAAUAUAUCCUUCCAAAAGUUUUAAUUAGUUCAUACAUGUUCCUGCUGUUUGAUUCACCGUUAAUUUUUUAACUGUAGAUGCAUAAAAUGACCAUUUUAUCCUUACAAAUUAAUUUGUUCAUGUAAAAAACUAUUUUUAUUUCUCUAUCUCUUCUCGCUUUCGCCGCAGCACGUGUGGUAUACCUCAUUUUUUCCGCAACUGUGGGUUCUCGUUUUUGAUAUCGCCGCCGCUGUAGGUCUCGUCGUUGCCAUGAAUAAAAUAGAGAGGGUGAGAAUUAAAGAUGACUGGACCCAACAUUGGAAUACAAGUUAUACAUAUAAGGGGUUAAAAAGUCAUUUUACUUUUUAACUAAUUGUGGUUAGUUUCUUUAACUCAAGUUUAUCUAAAUUUUCAUAACAGAAGGAUAUAUAUACAGACGGAAGAACUUUUGGAGAGAUAAAUCUGAAAACAUAAGUUUUGUAGAGAUAUAUUUGUUAUUUGAUACUUUUGUAGGGAGCCAUAUGCAAUUAUCUCUUAAAAUAAUGUUGAAGUGUGGAGUGACCAACACACUUUUUAGUACCAGAGAUACGAAGAUAGAAGUACAGGGGGAUUUUUGUAAUUUAGCCCUAGUCCUUUGUUGUUUUCUCUCUCUCUUUCUCCCACCAACCAAACCUACCACUGCUAAUAUUUUCGCUUUCCUAGUGUAAAAUAUAAAAAUAUAUAGGUAAUUUUGAAAAAAGCCCCUCAACUAUAAUUUUUGACAUAGUUUCAUAUGUAUCAAUAUAAAGUUUUAAAACUACAGAUUUAUCCUGCAAAUUUUUAACUUUUCAAAAAAUUUCCAAGUAAACAAUUUCAACGAAAUUUUUCAAUUUGUUAUUUUUCUGUGUUCAAACUAUUGAAUAUAUUUCUUUAAAACUCCAAAAUAAUCAAAUUUUUACUAUCGAGACCAUUAUGCCCUUGAAAAAAAUUAUUUUCCAUUUGUUUUUAGAACUUGUAAUUUAUGGUUGACGUAGAAUGACAUAAUUAGAGUACAAAUAUUAAAAAAGAUAAAUAAUGCUUAGAUAAAAUUAAAAUAUAUUUAUCUAAGUAGAAUGGGAAGAAAUUCAGAUUUAAUAAGUCAACUAAACACAGAGGGAUAUAUUUAGAAACUAUGUAAUUAUAUGAAAAUAUAUGUGCUAAUUUAAAUUUAUUACAAAUAUCUAUGAUUUUAUUGCUUUGUAGAUAUAGACGAAAUCAGAAAUUAAGAUUCGGGGUGGCCAAGAUUUAGAUUUGAUAGAAAAAAAAAUUCGACCUCGAAUAGUAAAAAAAAAAAAAUUGUCAAAUUCACUGAUCAGUUAUUACUAGCAACAAUAACAAUAAUAUGCUAAAAAAGGAAUAAAACUGUAAGAGUUGAAAGAAAAGGACCAAGAAAUUCGAAAAAAAAAAUGAAAUACAAAUUUUAUUAAAAAAAUUAAUUUGGCCCCCUAAAAUUAAAUUUUAUAAUAUUUUAAUUUUUAUUAUAAUAGACUUUUAUGUAAUUUUAAAAAAUUUAGGUAGGGCCAUGGCCACUGUAGGCCCCUCAAUGGCUCCGCCCCUGUUUGUAGAAAUACAUAUGUAAUUAGAAGCUUUUUAAAAUAAAUUAAAAAUUUCUUAACUUUUAAUAUUUUUUUAUUUUAUCUUUAUAUAUACCUAAUUCUUUGCCGUUUUGUGUUCUUCUUUUUGCUCCCACCAACCAAACCAACUACUACUACUUUGGUUUUAAUAUAAAGCAAAAAAAAAUGUAUGGCGCCCCCAACAACUAUAGUCCAAUUCCUAAUUUUUUUAAUUUAAAUUUAUACUUAAUUAGGUAAUAAUUUUAUCAAAUUUAAUUACUUACACUACAAUAAAAACGGUCUAUAGCGACACUUUUAAAUAUAGGUACAUGUCAAAAAAGUGCUGCUAGCUAAAAUGACCUACACUUUUAAAAAGUGUUGCUAUAUGUGGGAUCGCUAGGUAUAUAGUGACAGUUAAAGAGUGUCGCUAUAACCUAAAAGAAUGCUGCUAAUUUACCAACACUUAUUUAAGCAUUUAGCAACCGCCGAAACUCUAUCUCGUUGGGUGCUGUGGCGGAGGAGGACGACAGGAAAGGCUCUUCGUCUAGAAUUUCAGUGGAUUGAGUGAAGAGAGAAAAAAAGAUGGUAAUUGAUUUUUCUUUUUUUUUCUUUUUUGUUUUUUAUCGGGCCAAAUGGACUGGGUAUGGUGGGUUGAGUAGAGUAAUCUUUUAUUUUUGGUUAGAUUCGGUUUUAUAUUUAGGCAUUAGUAGAUAUUUUUUUAAGUUUUAGGAUAAAUAGGACACUUACUCAAAAGUGUCCCAAACAUGUGUCCCUAUAACCUAAUUCUGUUGUAGUGUUAAUUAGUCAUUGACAAUUAAUUGAUCUUAUUUUAUUCACUAAAGAAUAAUUUAAGUCAUUAAAUUUGGUAAAAUCACUAAUGAAUUUGGUAAAAUUCUCUACUUAAAAUCACAUAAUUUAUAAUAAUUAAAAAAAAAACUAAAAGCUAAGGAGUCUCAACUAUAAAAAAAUUGCAUUUAGGAAGAAGAAGAGGAUCACUUAACCAACAACUACCCACCAAUGGGGGAAAAGUGGGUGAUGGUGAUUGGAGGAGGAAAAUUAGGAGGACUUUGGUUUUGACUAUGGGGUUUAACUCAUAAUUAAUAACUUUCUUGUGGUGUUUCUAUGCAUUGCAUAUAUAUUUGCAUAAUUCCAUGUACUUGACCAUGGUUGGUGGAUUCAAAGGUGGAAAAUGCAUGGGGAUCCCUCAGCUAAAGGAUGUUUUGAAGCAGCCCCCCAAUCUCUAUUCUUUUGUUUUUAAUACUUUUGUGACUUCUAUGAUAUGUUUCCAUGCGCGAAUAUCUUGUCAAUGAAUCUUUUUUAUUUACUCAAAAUGAUUAUAGUGUUUGGUAGAUAUAGAACUACUCAAGUCCUAAUACGUUUAACCCUUCUAUCUCUUUAGGCCUAGUCUCCGCCCAAAAUGCUAUUGCCAAUUAAAAUUUUAGUCUUAUUAUACCUUAUUUAUAGAACUAUUCUAAAUUUCGGGGUGUCACAUUUUUUUUUCCUUUAAGUUCUGAUGUUCUUGUAAGGCUCAAGCACACUAUCUCGCUAAUUUAAGCCGAUCUUGUAGGAACUGCGCUCCACCUACAACUAUCAUCAACCGAGGAACUGCGCUAGCUCCACUUACAACGAUCGUCAAUUGAGGAGCAGCGCUCUAUCCGCUGUAUGAUCGUGGCUCAAAUGAGACUUCUUUUAUACUUUCGGAUGGUGAUAGGCUUUGAUAGCAAUUGUAACACUCCACUUUCCAAAAAAAAUCACUCAUUCGACAAUUACUCUAGGGUUAAUCAUCGCUUAAAAUACUAUAAUCGGGUUAAGAGGUUUAGUUAUAUAUAUCUUAUAUAUGAGACUAUUCUAAAUCGUGGAGUAUUACUAAAUAUGAUGACAUUUCUAGAAAAAUAUAUAAUAUUAGGCUUUUUAGUUUCUUUCUGUUUAAGGUCAGAUUACAACUUAGUAUUGCUUACAAGAAGCUAACAAAGUGAGAAACAGAAAGAAUAACUUGUUCUAAUUUCGAAUACAAGGAUGAGGAGCGAACCAAACUCCUAACUUACUUAAAACUGCAUAUAAAAAUUCUCAUAACUAAUAAAUUAUUACUAGAGAAUUUUUUCGGGCAUCUAAGUGAGGCCUUACAAUCUAUUUCAAUGUCGAAAUAUGUUAAUUAAUAUUAAUUUAUAAUUAUAUUAAAUGAGAAUUUUGUUUUAUGGUUAUCACCGAAUUUUGUUUUAUUAUUUGGAAUGGCACAUUUCACAUACAAAAUAAUUUAUUUAUUUUAUGUUGUUGUCUAAUCACACAACUCGCGUUCAUCAAUUACUAUAUAUAUUCUUCUCGAGUGAACAAAAAAAUAUUUCAAAACAUAAUUUUAUGCACCCAAACAAGGCUUUUUUUUUUUUGUAUUCAAGUGAUUUUAAUUGAUAAAAUUAGAAAUUAUAUUAAUAUCAACAAAAAAAUUUUGAAUUUUUUAAUGUCGAUUAUCUUUUACCAAACAAAAUUAUAACAAUUAAUAACCAAGUAAGAGUUAAUAAAUUUAAUAAUAUAAUUACUGCCACUACAGAGAAUAACUGAAAUAAACAUUUUUAAAAGUUGGGGUGUUAAUUGAAAAAAGAAUAAGGUUGAGACAUCUAGUUUUAAAUACUCUAUAGAUGUGGGGUCCCUCUGCAUUUUAACCUAAAUUCAAAUAGCCACGAGGAAAACGUGGGCAACGAUGAUAAUCGUACGGCACAAUUAGGCUAUUAGUUUAUUUUUUGUAAAUAAUUUUCUAGGGGUAAACUUCAAAUAUCAUCUCUAUAGUUUUAAACUUUCUCACUUUAAUACUCUAUAGUUUAAAAUAUAUUAUUUUACUAUCCUUUUUUUUUUUUAAUCUUUCCGUCAAUACCUCCGUUAACUCUCCGUCAAAUUAUAUAUAAAAAACUUCAGGUACUCCACCUACGGUUUAUCGAAUAUUUAUUUUAAUAUCAUGUGGUUUACCGAAUUUUUACUUUAACACUCUAAAAAAAUAUUUUUUUUUUCUAAAAAAAGAAUUUUUAUCAAAUCUAGUCCUAAGAGUACCGAAGGGCUGAUCAUCCUAAUAAGGAAAAAAUUAAUAUAGAGAAUAAUGAAAAUAAAAAAUUAAAACUAUAGAGUACUAAAAUCAUAUAUUUUAAACUGUGUAAUACUAAAGUGAGAAAAAAUGGAAUCAGAGGAUGGGGUUUGAACCUUUUUUUUUUUUUUCCUAAAAUCACCUUUGAACACUUUAAAUAGUGUUUGGUCUAGGAAUAAGAAUUCCAAAAAAAAGAAAAACAAAUCUGAUACUUUUCUUAAUGGGUUAUCUAAAGAUUUAAGAGAGUGAAACAAUAAUUCUUCUCCUUAUUCCUCUACUAAUUAAUAAUAAAAUAGUAUUAACUAAAAUAUUGCGUAUUAAUUUAUUCACUGAUUUACUAGAUAAAUAAUUAACCAAAUAUUUAAUCAACUAUUAUUUAUAAUUAAUUACCUAAUUAAAAAAUAAUUAUUUAGAUAGUUUAUGUUAUAACUAAUACUUGUGUUGAUUAACCAAUUAAUAUUAUGAUGACUAACCUAAUCAUUUUCUUAACUAAUUACAUAACUAAUUAAAUACUUAGAUAAUUAAUUAAUAACUUGACUUAUUAUUUAUAGUCAAUUAAGUAAUUAAUUAAUGUACUCUUCCAUUAUCUUAUACAGUAUUCAUGAUUAAUUAAUUUAUUCAAUUAUUACUUAAGUAAAAUCUUGAUGUUUAUUAAUUAGGUAAAAUAUUGCUAUUUUAAAAUUAAAUUUCUCCUAUUUUCACUAUUUAGACUCGUAAAUCUCUACCAAUAUCAGCAGGUACCUAUGGAUUACCACAAAUUUGCGGGUAACCCGUUAAGUUGUGAGUAUUUUGGACAAUCCGCAGGAACUCAUAGAUACCGUAUAUAUUUUUUAAGUUAAAAAAUAUAUAAUCUUCAUGAUAUUGACUAUAUAAUUAUCAAAACUUUAUUAAUUUUGUAUCACAUAAAUUUAGGAUAAUAAAAUACUUUUAUAUUAUACAGUUUAUGCACUUUAACAUUUUAUAUUAUUUUUUAGGGAAAACUUCAAAAAAACCUCAUCUGGUUUCAAUUUUUUUUCACUUUAGUACCCUGUGGUUUUGCACUUUAUCACUUUAGUAUCUUGUGGUUUUAAUUUUGUAUCAAGUUAGUAUCUUGUGAUUUUUUAAAUCACAGGGUACUAAAGUGAUAACGUGUGAAACCACGGGGUACUAAAGUGAUAAAGUGCAAAACCACAAAAUACUAACUUGAUACACUUUAAACCACAGGGUACUAAAGUGAUAAAGUGAGAAACCGCAGGGUACUAACUUGAUACCCUUUAAACUAGAGGGUACUAAAAUGAAAAAGUGUGAAAUCAUAGGGGAGGUUUUUGAAGUUUUCCCUAUUUUUUAUUUUAUAUUGUUUAUUUUAUAUUGUGAUAUUUCAAACAAUAAAUUAUGUUAUAUUUUAAAAAAUUAUAUAUAUGUGUUUUGUAUUUAAAAAGUAUAGGAGUAAAAAAAUAAUAAUAAUUUGCGGAUAAUCUGCAUACCAACCCACCCGCCUGCCCGUAGGCGGAUAUAGAUAAAAAUUUUGAUGACUCAAAAGUUUACGAAUAAAUUUUAUUCAUGCACAUAUAACGUACGGAUACAAUGACCAACCCAUGGAUUACGCAACCCACCCGGUUGGCAAGUCUAUCAUUAUUUCAGUCUAAUUAUUUAAAUAUUAUUUUUUGUAAAGUUGAUCUAAUUCCUAUUUAUUCUAAAAAUUAUGUCAAUAUUAGAAAUAACUAAAAAUAAUUUAUUUCUAAACGAAAUGAUACUUUAAUAUUUAUUAAAGUUAUAAAUUCUUAGCCUUAAUAGUUGUUAUUUUGAUCUCUGCAUUGGAUUGAGGUUUGGGGAUCGAUCCUUUGCCCUUGUUUUUACCAAAAAAAAAAAACUCAUAUUCCCCACUUGUUGGAUGAGACGAAACAAAAACAAAACAUUUCAAUACAGUACAUCUAAAAUAAGGCAUGUUUCAUAAGCUAUAGAAUAAUCAAACACAAAUUAUAAAAUAGUAAAAUAUUAUAUUUUGCAAUUCAGUCACAUACCAAAUUUAGCAUCUUGCAAUCACUUUUCUUUUUUGAGGAAAAUCUUGCAAUUCUCUUUAAUGGAGAGUCCAAACAAAAAAAUAAAAAUAAAAAUAAAAAUAAUAUAAAGAUUAAAUUCUAUAUUUUUCACUCUUGGGUUCUUUUUUCACUCUUUAUAUAUAUACAAAAAAUUAUAAAAUUUAUUUUCUAAAAAUUUUAAAUGCUCUAAAUUAUAUUUAAUGGUAUUGAUCAUCGAUUCAGAAACUUCAUGUCACGCCCCGGAUGUCUCGUUCCCCGGGCACGCCGACAAAUCCGCCGUAUACAAAGGAAUUUUUCCUGUAUACGAAGCGUCAAAAUACCUGUAGAAAUACAAUACUACAAACAGUAGCAUAGAGCUGCUCAAAAAAAAAAAAGCUAAAUAUCUGAGUUUCAUAUACAUAGCUAGAAUCCAAAAUACAAAGCUACUCGCACUGGCGAGUUAAACAACUAUGUACAUAAACUCCAAAACAAAACUACCUGCAGUAGGGGAAAGCCUCUAGCUCUGACUGUCGGGUAGGGCUCUAGCUCGCAACGCCCUUGCCUCGAUCCUGAUCGGCAGAAGAUGCAGCAGCCGGCACCUGUGGCUCUGCAAAACAUAAGUAACAACUGGGCGUGAGAACUACUGUAAAAAUAAGUAGUCCUCAGUGGGUACCGCCCAAAAUGACAUCGGUCACCCACUAAGUCUACAGAAGGGAGUAAGGAUAGAAGGAAAAGCAGGAAGUACACUCUAGCCGAUAUCAAUCACUAACUAUAUGCUCUACACAACCAACUGUAGAAAAUGUCAAACUCUGACCCAAUCCAAAUCGGAUUGUAAGCACACCCAUCCCGGGCACUGUCGAAUACACUCGGUCCCUGCCCGUUGCGACUACGGGCUCUAUCACUCUACACUGGCUCCGUGGAGAGCAAGUCAAACUGGAUGAGCGACACCAACCGUAAGACAAGCCUGACUCCGGGUGGCACUCGUGAGCGCUACCAACCCGAGUAUGCAGCGUAUUUCUGUCGAGCUCUAACAGGCUCGAAAGCCAAAGUCCAAAGAAACCGACUCUAAACUGGUCUAGACAAGCAACAGUACAAACGUGCCACUCGGCAAUCUGACGCCAAAACGCGCAUACAGCGGUCCACCGUAACUCUGACGCAACCCACAGUCCAAAUCAUCCUCGAACGGGCCCGGGGUAAAAAUUCAAUCGCGCGACCAGCAGAGGUAAUAUAUUCUAAACUACUGGGAGUACUCAGUACUCGACAAUAACUGCGACAGUACAAAUUCUAACGUCUAGAGCUAAAUCAGGAAGUUUAUUAAGUGACAGGUCCUAAAUCGGCUAGGUUUCUUCCUAACUUCAAUUUUCAGUCCUACAAUGUAUAAUUACUUUAAUUUAAAAAAAACAUGCUCAAGAUACACGAUUCACAAUCUACAUAUAAAUCCAUAAUUGAGCUACUUAAAUAACGAAAUCAGAUCUAUAACAUGUCGACCAAUAAGAAUCUUUGGACGUAAGCCGAUGUCAACCCACUAAAAAUCUAAUCCUCAGCAGCCACGAGACGGUCCGAAGGCAACCAGGAACACCCUGCUGGAUCAAUCCGCAAACCUCCAAAGGCCAGAAAUCACGCUCCCGCCAAACUCUACACGUAAAAUCCGAAAAUGAGCACCGAUUCUGCCUCAAAAACAGCAGCAGAGAAGAGAAUAAUUCCGACCAAGAAAACCUCCACCAAAACCAGCAAGUAAGGGCUUCGUGGAUUCCUCUCGAAGUCCCGAAUCCAACGAACCAAGUCUCGUCGAAAUCCGCUGCUCCUACGUCGAGAGGGAGUCGAAACGCCGACGGUCGACGCUGGAAAUUCUGCAAAUCAGCACCAAGCUCGAAAUGACAAUACUUGAAGCAAUGCAACGGAACACUCACCUCAAAGGCUAAUCGGACAUCGACGCGGCGUCGAGAACGACGAAAACGCACCCUCGCCUAGCUUCCUCGCAGCGCUACGAUGACGAAGACCCGCUCGAACGGCACCGUGGCGCGACGUCGGCGUCGAUCCGAGCUCCACGGCAACUCCACCCGAGCUCGAGCUCUCCACCUUGCCCACGAGCUAAAUUAAGGAGGGAUAGAGAGAGAAGGCUAAUUAGUUUCAAUGGGUUGAGUUGAUAAGUAUCAGGAGGGAGUUGGUGAGAUACUUAUCCACCCACUCAAAAGAUUUUUUUUUUUUUUUUUUCCUCACCAACUCAAAAGCUAAGGGUACUACACUUCAUCAUUGAAAAUAACUUUCUCUCUCUCUCUCUCUCUCUCUCUCUCUAUAUAUAUAUAUAUAUAUAUGGGUUAAUUGCAUACACGUUCCUACAAAUAUAGUGAAUUGCAGAUAUAUCUCCGCAAAGUUGAACUUUCAUAAGUUAUUCCUGCAAAAGUCCUAAUGUAUUCAAAUAUGUCUAUUUGAUUAGGAUUCGUUAGAGAACUGUUUAUUUUUUAACAGUAGGUUCAUGAAAUAUAUUUUUGCCCUCUUCCUCUUUCUUUUCCAUUUCGGGCUGCGGGAGUGAAUGGCGGCGGCGACGUCGCAGAGCUUGUCGGAGUUGCAGCCGAUGAGGAAGAGGCUGAGGCCCGUAGCGGUGAGGUGGAAGGCGAAGGUGCGGCCGAUGCCAUCGGUAGCGCUUGUGAGGACGGCCACGAGGGCAUCGACGAUCAGAUCAUCGACGACAACGACACAAAAGAAGAAGAAGGAGAAAAGGAGGAGGAAAAAAAGGAUACGAAAAAGAAGAAGGAGGCUGCAGUCUGGCUGUCGCCGCACUUACGUCAGAUGAAGGCAUCGCCGAGGAUGGCGAGGUCGGUGUAGAUCUCCCACGAGGAGCAUGGCCCAAUCCAAUGGUCUGCUUCCGCCCAAUCCCCUUCCGUUGUCAACGUGGCCUCCAUCGGCCGCUUCCUCCGCGACCGCGGCUCCUCCUUCUCAGUCGCGAUUGCCCGACGCAUCUCCUCCCUCGCCAGCAACGACGACGACGACCACUCUGACAAGCAGAAGAGAAAAAGGAAGAGGAAUGGGAAGAGGAAGAGGGAUAAAUUAUCAAUUCACCUUACUAAUCAAUCGUGGUUAGGUAUUUUAAUUGUGCUUAACUAAAUUUCUCUAACGGAUCCUAACUGCAAGGACAUAUCUGAAUAUAUAAGGACUUUUAUAAAGAUAACUUAUGAAAAUUAAACAUUGCAGGAAUAUACCUGUAAUUUAUUAUAUUUGUGAGGAUAUGUAUGUAAUUAACCCUAUAUAUAUUCUUUCUUCUGUACCACCACAGCUACUGCCGCUACUAUUAUUAUAGUUAUUGAUAGUCAAUUAAGGCAACUUUUGACCCUUUGAACAUAGUGGUGAUAUAAUUAUCAGGCCUAACUAAGGCCCCACUCAAGAAAAAAAAAAAAAAAAAUCUAAAAUGUAUCCAUCACUUGUGUUAUGAGGCAUGGCCUAAUCAUGUAAAGAGUUUGGUACUUGAUAUCUAAGAUUUUAAGUUCGAAUACUAGUCGAUUCAUAUUUUCAACUAAAUUUAUUUAAAAAAAAUAUACGAAACGAGUAAAAUGAGCUUUUCUCUCUCUCAAAAAAACACUAUAACUCGCAAGUACAAAAUGUUCAGUGCCAUUAGAAGUAUUGUAGCACAACACAUAAAAUAAUAAAGACUUAAUUACACUCUGCCAUAUUGUAAUUCAGUAUUAUUUUUAUUUGUCAUAUUAUGCUAUUUUGUUUUCAAAGACAUCAUUUUAUUUUAUCCUACUCUACAUUGCAUUUUAUAUUAGUUUUAUUUUUCUACCUUAUAGUAUUUUAUUUCUUAUAGAUAUUACUAAACUAUUUUUUUCUCACCAGACCAAUCUCUACAUUACUGUUAACCAUUCUAUUAUUUUAGAUAAAAUCUAAUAAUUUUAUUAAGAGACGCUUGGUUAAAUAGCAAAAAAAAUAUAAAAUAAAUCUUCAAGAUAAACUCAUUAAACGUUUCUAUAAAAUUAUUUUAAUUGUCCUUGUUAUUUUAUGUAUUUUGUUAUUUUUUUUAUAUGUCGAAAUAUACUAUAGUAUAGUAUAAUUAAGUCAAAAAUUAAAACAAAAAUAAAAAUAAAAAUAAAAAUAAAUCAAGAAUGAGCUAGGACCGGCUCGUGUUCGCUCCUUUAUUAGUCGAGCCCAACACGAUAUGGCUUAUUAAAAUAUCAACUUGAAAAUUUUAGCUAAUAUUCAGCUUGUUAAUAAUAUUUAUUAACAAACCUUAGCUCGCGAAUAGCAAAAUAGCUAUUUAUAUUUUCAAUUCUGCUACUAAAAAUAUAAGCCUGUUUGUAUUAGAUUGAGCUAAAACUCAAAUAAUUAAAAUUUAUACAAUAUAAUAUAAUAUGUAUUUAUUUAUUUAAUAUUUGAGUUAUAUCGAGUUGGUCUCAACUCGUAUUUGACUUAUUAAAAUUUUGAGUUGAAAAAUUCGACUCGCAUACGACUCGUAUUCAUCUCAUUUAUUAAAUUUAUUAAGGCUUAAUUUGGUAUUGAGAUUUAUUUGACGCUAUUAAAUAAAAUGAAAUUAGGAUAAAAGCAGAUAGAGAUAUGCUUCUGCGUUUUUUUGGUGAAAGCGUAGAAAAUAUAUUAUAAUUGACUCAUCGCGAUAUACAAAACACAAUAUUUUAUACAAAAUAAAUAAAAUAAAUUUUUAUUAUAUUUUUUAACUAUAUAUAACACAUCUUUCUACAAUUUCAAACUAAGGCUAAAUAAAUGACAUCUUCAGAACAUGAGUUGACUUGAGUUGACUUGCGAACAGUAAAUUGGAUUGUGGGCCCUACUAUUAGUAGAGCUUCGAGUUGGGAACGUCUCCUCCCUCCAACACGCACGUUUCGAGAACUCUCUCGUCCCCUCUCUCUCUCUCUCUCUCUCUCUCUCUCUCUCUCUCUCUCUCGCCUCCAUUAAUGGAGGAUCUGAGAAUGGCGUUGAAGGAUCACGCGGAUCUCGCAUCGGAGCUCUUCGAUCGCUUCUCCGCCGAGCUCCGCCGCGGAUUCGCCCCCGCCGUCGAUAACUUUCUAGGGUUUUUCCACGCCGUCGAUUGGAAGGUGCGGUUCUAGCGUCAAAUUCUCUACGCCACUGUUUCUCUUCAACAAAUUUAGAACGAAAUCGACAUUCCGUGGCAGUCGGAUUCAUAGAUUGGUUAGUUUUUAGCUGGAUCUGUGGGGUUUCAGUAGUUUGAUUCGGGGUGGUGAUGAUUAGGAACCCUAAUUGAUGAGUUACGGAUGGUUGCUUAAUAACAAUUUGGCUAUUUGUUCUUGGAAAUUUUGGCUUUAUUAGCAGUUUGAUUCAUGUGAGAUGUUGAGAUCUCUUUGUUUUGAGUGCAUGAGGGUUUCUGAAACUCAAACAUAGAUGUUUUAAAAUCUGAAUGUAAACUGGUGUUAUAUGAUCUACAAGCUUUAAAUUGUUUAUAUAUAAAAAAUCGUAAUAUUUGACAUAUAUUACAUAGGCAUCAAGUAGUCGCAAAAAUCGAAGGUCUUAACAAAAAAGAAAAAUCUAUUGUUCGUUAAAUGAGAAAAAAAGUUCAGCAAAAAUAAUGAUUUUAAAAAUAUGGGCCCUGUAAGCCAUGUGGAACAUAUCUAACAGUUUACAUUUUGAUCUUAAGGUAUCUAGGAUCGAGUUUCCGAGACCUAGGUGUAGUUAACUGCGGUAUUUACAAUAAUUUCUGCUUAAACAGAGUUCAUCUUGUUAUUGGAAAGAGCAGAAAAUUAUUCUGGGGAAACAAACACAUAUCUCUACGGAGAGUAUAUUUACAGUUUGAUAAUUACAUAUUUACACAAUUAUGCGCAACGUCAAGAGUAGGGCUCAUCGCGUUCCAUUGUGCACGUUGAUGGCGUAUGCAACCUUACUUUUGAGGAUAUUAUUUGUAAGGCGCGUAAGUUUUUGAGAGAGUCAUAGAGUGAUGAUUGAAAUGGGAGAAUAUUAUUUAUAAGGUG